rnacentral:lncRNA from 1 species
CUUAUUGUUGAAAACCUAGAUAAUUUGGUGGAUAUUGGGCAUACUGUUGGAAGUUGCUUGGAGGGCCAAAAGGAUUGAAAUUUUGCAAUCCAUGAGUAGGUGGGCUAUUUUUGGGAUACUGUGUAUGGUUGAAAGAUGUGGGAGGAAACUGAGAGUGGUUGAAAGAGUUGGGAAUAUGAUUUGGUGUGAAAUUUAAGAUGUACUGGAAAUUAGUAUUUUUUGGCCUGGGAUUUGUGGGAUCAGAGCCGAGCAAUCUUGAGAAACUUCCAUCUGGUGGAUACAUCUGAACCAAUCAAUGUGGUUUGUGUGCUGGUAUUGUGUUGUUUUAAGCAUGAACCUAUCCUCUUCCUAUUCAGGCUAUUGGUGUUGCUUUGAGCAUGAACCUUUCAUUUCCUUUUAUGCAGGUUGGAAGGCAACGGCUAGAAGAAGGUUCUAGGAAGAAAAAAGGAACACGGAUAAAUGAAGAGAAAAAGGCUACAGGAAGAGGAACAUAGAUAGAUGAAAGCUACAGGAAGAGCAACGGGUAGAAGAACUAAGGAGGCAACGGUGAAGUGUAGCCAAUGGUUAAAACUUGAAUCCGGUGGUGCGGUUGGUAGUUGGUAGUUGGAAGUUGUCAGACUCGUGUCAGACUUUUGAGUUGUUUAUUUGCUGGUACCUGGUUCUAUACAUGGACCCUGGUUCUCCAUGGAACCAGCCACACAAUGUUUAGGACCUGGGUCUAUAGGAGCAUUAAUUGUAUAGCACCAGGUUUUUCUGCACAUUGGAGAGGCCCUCAGGUGAGGCUAGCAGAAUCAAUCAAAAGAUCUAAAAGGAUCCUGAGUUUCACAAAGAAAGAGGGAGGCUUCACUAGGAGAGAUGCAAAAGCCCACCCUCCGACUAAGGGCAUGUUUGGAACUUUUGCUGGCUCCUGUGUUACCUAACUAAGCAAGAAAUUGGCAUGGAUGAGUUGUUUGGAUGAGCACCUCGGGGCUUGUGCUUUCCAUCUUUACCCUCGCCACUUCGAGCGAGCCAAAUUCGCUCGCCAGCGCCCAGCCAGGCGAGGCAAGGCAAGCCACUAAACAAACCAAAUGUGCCCUAAGGCUUUGGAUGAGCCUUCAAUCCAACCACUACAACAUGCCGAGGGAUGGGCUUGACCAUGACCUGUGAUUCCAGGCUACAUGCCAAUUGCCAAGCAUUGUUUGUAGAUGGCCACGAUAGAGGUCAAGCGUGCUGGCGUGGCGAUGGUAGGCGUUGCAUCAACAUACAUAGCACCACGUCACACCAUGAGGUCAUCUCAAGUGGUUAAGUAAUGUCAUAUACAACAAAUUACAUUGGCUUUCCAACUUGUGGAAGUAUGUUCGGGUAACCUUAUGACAUAUAUCUUUUGAAUAAUUUUAGUUUUUAUAAUAAUAUGCUACUUACAAGUGAGUCAUCAUACAUACAAGAUACAAUUGCAUAGAGAACGAGCCGUAGCUCGAGUGGCUGGCUGUGCGGUUGUGCACGCUGCUUGCUAACGUUCAAUCCCUGGGAUCAGCGCUGGUGUCUCACCGGAGCUUUGCCUCCAGAAAUAAAUUUCGUUGCCUCUCAUGCAUGGAGCCAUAAAGGGAAUGCGAUGUCUCAUUGUCUACGGAGCCAUGAAUGGUCUUGGUGAUGUCUUCAAGGACACAGUCUGCUAUCUAGAUGUAGUUGUAGGGUUGUUUGUGUACGUGUGGUGUGAGUGAGGUGUCCCUGAUGUGUAAGAUUGGUGUGUGUGAGUGAAGUCCUAUCCAGGUCGCUUGCCUUGGGAGUCUAAGAUCUUGUAUAGUUCUGCUUGGCUGUUGCAGUUUAUUAGCAUGUGUCGCGGCUGUUUUUUUUGUUGAGGCCUGGGUGUGUGUGGGUGUGAGGUUUCUGUACUCGGGGAGAGUCUUUCCAUACUCGCGUACUCUUUUUUUAAAAUGACGCACAACUCUCCUACAUAGUUCGAGAGAAAAAAUAGAUACUACAGUUGUAUCACUAGUAGAGAAAGGACUUUCGAUCCAGAGACAUAUAUCUCAAUCAUUUUUGGACCCGGGACUAAAGAGGGUCAAACGGCCACCACCGAUAGCCACAUCCGAUAGGAGAUUUAGUCCCGGUUGUAACGGCUAUGAUGGAUAAGGGAGUCCGAUGGAGCAUCUAGUCCCGUUGGAAAAAACCGAUCGAAACUAAAGGUCUCUCAUUUAGUCCCAGUUGGUGUUACCAACCGGGAUUAAUCAUUUAGUCCUGGUUGGUAACACCAACCGAGACUAAAUGAGAGGCCUUUAGUCCCGGUUGAUUUUUCCAACCGGGACUAAACGUCCACCCUAUAAAAAUCCCCUUCUUUCUCCCCGAGCCCGAGCCACUCAUCAGAUCGAGAGCGCGGCUCCUUCUUCAUGGCGAGCAAGCAAGCUUAGGGAGGUGCUGCUGAUUUUUUUCCUCAUUUUCAUGGGAAUUUCACUCAUCCAAAGUGUUGUAAAGGUUAGCUACUUCAUCCUCCCUUCAUUUAUUGUUAUUAUGCUUUCUUUUAUGCUUUAGAGAUAGAGAAAAAUGAGUUUUUUUUAGAAUGAGGGAGAAUGGAGAGGAUUUUUUAUUUAUAUAUGUUUUUGAGCUAGAAUUUGAUGGAUAGCUUGUUUACAUAUGAUUCGUAUUAGAUAAAUAUCUUGAUCAAUAUUAGGUAUGGGAAAAAAUAGAGUAAAUGUGUUUUUAAUAUUUAGUCCUUGCAAUCAAAUUAAGGUAAAUAAAUUGUAGGUGUAAGAAAUAGAAUUUGGUCAUUGCUAUAAUUUUUUGAAUAGUUUGCAUGUUAAAUUAGAGUGUCAUGAAAAUUACACCGGUCAACUUAAUGCUGGAAUUGUGGAACAGGAUAACAAAGGUACACUAAAGACUACAGACGCUCCAUAGUGUACUUCACGGAGUCAAGAAUCCAAAAAUAAUGGUAGAACAGAAAAACUUCAAGUCCACAAACUUGGGCUGAAUAUUAUAAAAGAAUCUUGAAAUAAUUUUCCAAACACCUUUUGGAGCCACAUUCUCAUAAUAGAAGUAUAGUGGCCCAAUAGCCUGUUUAGGCAGAGAUUUGUUCACUAACCUUGACCCAUUGACUUUUGGUUGGUUUUAGCUUGCUAAAAUAGGCCAUGCUCAGUGAACAGAUCUUUUGCCUGGAUAGGCUAUUGUGUGCCACCAUACUUCUAUUAUGAAAAUGUGGCACUUGCUCCAAAAGACGUUUGGAAAAUUAUUUCAAGAUUCCUUGAUGAUAUUCAGCCCGAGUAUGUGGACUCGAAGAUCUUCUGUUGUAUCAUUAUUUUCUGGUACUGGAGGAGCGGAGGUGACUAUCCAUAGAAUUCGGAGAAGAUUGAGUCAUGUGCAGAGAUGGCUUGGAGGGUGAACAUUCUGCUAUGUUGUACCAUUAUUUUAGGAUUAUUGACUACGUGAAGUCCACUAUGCAGCAUCUGUAAUCUUUAGUGUAUAUAUAUCUUUAUUGUCUUAUUCCAGAAUUCUAGCAUUUCUCUUUUUAUCAACCUAGUGAAUGAUAUGAAGGUUGAACGGUGUAAUUUUUAUGUGAAUUAUUUUUAUCUUUAUAAAGGUUGAUUUAUGUAAAUUAUCAAUAUUGAUCAGGUUCUUUAUCUAAUAUGAAGAUCUAUGUCCAUUUUUUACGUAAUAUGAUGCAUAUGGACCGGCAAUGGACGUAUAACGUAGACAGACAGACCAAGUAUAAGUUGAUGGCUUGCAUUAUUUUCUCGAAGUGACCAGCCAACAAGCUAGAGUAGAGAUUCAUAUGUUGUCCAUGCUUCCAAUGUAGUAAGAAGAAGGACUACUCUUCCUGGGGGACUCUUCACAGCCACUUGUUUAGAUACGGUUUCAUGCCUAACUAUUUGGUUUGGAUGAAGCACAACGAAAGAGGGGUUAUAAGGGAAGACGGUAAAAAAGAGAAGGAUGAUAACAACAUUCCUGCAUGGGUUGCAGGCUAAAAUUUUGCAGAUACUACAUUGGGUGAGGUUGAUGAAAAAGAGUUUGCAGAAGACGUCUGUCCGAUUUAUAAGCCCAACAGUCCACCAGGGAAUUACCUAAGUGGUUGAUUUGUAGGUGGAGGUGAUUGUGAAACCAAGAACUCGAAGGUGAUCGUUAGAGCACAAGGGACACGAGGGUUUUAGACAGUUUCGGACCUCCGGAGAGUAAUACCCUACGUCCUGUAUGCUUGGUGGCUUGUAUUGCUUGAGAGAUUCGAUGCCCUCGGGAGGCUCCCUUGGCUGCCUUAUAUAGGCUGAUGACCUAGAGUUACAAGUCGGUUUGAAUCUAAUCUACUUGGUAGUUACAUGGAAGGUAAUCUGAGUCCGAGCACAGUAUCCGGGCAGAUUUGAAUCGCCCGGCCUACUUAGCGUGUACUCCAAGUAACUUCAUAUCCUUAGCACGCACGCCCUGGUCGGGUGGGCUCACUUGUUAGGUCCGGCCAGUAUUCUGGUCGGUAGGGACCCAUGAGGUAAUCAUAUCCCUCAAUGGCCCUAUUGAUGAUCUUGGUCAGGUGCUACGGGAUGCACAGAAAGACUGCAAAACUUAGAAGAAAUAAAAAAAGUUACAGCGCAUGAUAGAUGAUAAAAAAAUUGUUGUACCCAGAUUGCAAGUAGAGGCAUGAAAAACUACGUACCACACUGAAAAUGCUGCAAUGGAAGGGAAAAAAUUGUGUAUCUAAGAAGACAUUUCAAUGGAUAUUGAAAAUUGUAAAGAACAUGCUUGCCGAGAAUAAUGAAUUGUCAUCCACAACAUAUGAAGCUAAACAGGUUGUUUGCCCUCUGGGAUUGGAGGUUCAGAAGAUACACGCAUGUCCUAAUGACUGUAUCUUCUAUCGUGGUGAUGAAUACGAGAAAUUGGAUGCUUGUCCUGUGUGCGGAGCGCAGCGGUAUAAGAUCAGGCAAGAUGUUCCUGGUGAUGUUGAGAGGCAACCUUCCAAGAAAAGAGUUCCCAUGAAGGUGAUGUCGUAUUUCCCUAUAAUACCAUGUUUGAAGUAUUUGUUCAGAAACAAGGUGAAUGCUAAGUUGAUGUGAUGACACAAAAAAGAAAUCUAAGCAAGAUGAGAUGCUAAGACACCCCACAGAUGGGGCUCAGUGAAGAUCAAUUGAUAGAGCAUUCCCAUUCUUUAAAAGUGAUGCAAGGAACAUAAGGUUUGGUUUAAGUACUGAUGGAUUCAAUCCAUUUGGAGAGUUGAGUAGUAGUCAUAGUACUUGGCCUGUGACCCUACGUAUGCUUAACCUUCGUCCUUGGCUGUGCAUGAAGCGGAAGUUUAUUAUGAUGCCGGUGCUUAUCCAAGGUCCAAAACAACCCAACAACGACAUUGACUUGUACCUAAGAUCGUUGGUUGAUGAAAUUUUACUGCUCUGGAAGGAAGAAGGUGUACGUGUGUGGGAUGAGAAUAACCAAGAGAGCUUUGACCUACGAGCAUUGUUGUUCAUAACCAUCAAUGAUUGGCCUAUGCUGAGUAACCUUCCAAGACAGACAAACAAGGGAUAUCGGGCCUGCACCCAUUAUUUAGAUGACACAGACAACAUGUAUUUGAAACACUGUAGAAGGAGGGACCUUUAGUCCCGGUUGGUAUUACCAAUACCAACCGGUACUAAAGGGUCCUUUUUCAUCUCCCGCGCUUAAUACCACUCGAGACUAAAGGCCCUUUAGUCCCAGGUGAUGUUAUUAUCAACCGGGACUAGGGGGAGUAUAAAUAUUCCGACCCUCCCCUCCUCGGGACUUAGCCAAUUUCAUGAUCUCCGUGCGCAUGGCCUCCUCCUCAUCGCCUCCGUCACCACCGCAUCGCCACCGGUGCUGCCGUCAUCUCCCUGCAGGCGUCCCUCUAAACAUCGUCAUCACUCCCUGACCGUCGCACCGUCGCCGUCCUCUCCACGCCCCGGCUCCCCCGGCACCAUCCACCGGAGCCCCAAGCCGUCGCACCGCCGCACGCCCUUUCGCCACCGAUCCGCACCUCGGCUCCCUGGCAGCACCCUCCCGGCCCGGCGCCCUCCUCCUCACCUGGUCCUCCGCCGCACGGUGCCACAUCGCCUAGCCCGACACCCCUUCGCCACUGCAGUGCGCGCCCCAGCGCGGCCCCCACCGGUUGCCGCCUCUCCUCCGUCCCAGCACCCUUCGCAACGCCCGCACGGCCCCGAUGCACCCCUGCGCCGCCAUCUGCCGACACCCAUCCCACUGCACACCAUUCGACGAUGCCCAUCCCACUGCGCCACCGUCCGGCGCCGUCCCAACCCUUGCACUGCCGUCUGGUAUGUGUACGGCUGGCGCGAUGCGCCGGCUUGCUGACGCAAGCCGUUUUUUGAUUAGGAAAUUUUUAACUUGGAAAUUAGUAGAUUAGAUUAGGAAUUUAGUAGAAAUUAGUAUAAUUGAAUAGGAAUUAGUAGAAUUUAGUAGAAUUCAGUAGAAAAAUAGUAGAAACUAGUAGAAAUUAGUAAAAAAUUAGUACAAAUGCUUACAAAAUAGUACAAAUGCUUGGGAAUUAGAAGAAAAUUAGUAUUAAUUAGAAGAAACUAGUAGAAAUUAAGUAGAAACUUGUAGAAAUUAAUAGAAAAUUAGUACAAAUGCUUAGAAAAUAGUAUAAAUAAUUAGAAAUUGUUAUAAAUGCUUAGAAAAUUCAAUGUAUGGUUUCAUGUGUAUAUUUCAAGAAUUUGUAUAUUUCAAUAAUGUGUAUAUUUCAAUAAUGUGUAUAAGUUUCCAUGUAUAAGUUUCUUUUAUUAUUCCAUGUGUAUAAGUAUCCAUGUAUGUAUAUUUUAAUAAUUUAAUGUAUCUAUGAUUACAUGUGUGUAUAACUAAUGUCAUUAUUAGUUGAGGUCGUACAAAGAUAAUGGAGGGAAGGCUUUACAUCACCGAAGUGACAGAGGAGGGUCAGCCAAUUGCUCUCGAAAAAGUCGCUAGAAAGUUCGUGAGUCAAUGCGGGGCUAUUGUAAGGGACAACGUGCCCAUCAACAUUCGAGAAUGGAAGGGUAAAAAAAGAUGAUCCAUACGUGCUCCAGCAGACACAGAAAGAUAUAUUGUGGGAAAAUGUCAAGAAACACUUCACACCUCCUGAUGGCGUCAAUGAAAAAGUUGUGAAAGACUGGACGCUCAAGAAGAUGCCAACCCAAUUCCAGACCUUCAAGAAGAAUAUGGAUGCUAACUAUAUCAAGAAGGGCCAAACUCUAGAUUUUAAUGACUAGCCAAAGUUAAGAGAUCACUGAAACUCAUUUCUGGAAUACAAGAGGAUAGUGCGAACAAGGUUCGUGUCAACUCAAGCAAUGCCCAGAAGAAAGGGUACCAUCAUCGUCUAGGGUAAGGUGGCUACAUAAGUGCAAUUCCCAAAUGAAGAAAGAUGGAACAAGACCUAAUCGAUCGAGGUAUCGUACCAUCGACUAUUGAUUGGCCCGAUCGAUCGAAGAAUUGGUAUUAUGCUCACGGAGGCACCCUUAGCCCUGCGGAUGGGAUACUUAUUUUCAACGAAAUAAUACGUCAAAAGUCCCUCAAGCUUAUCAAAAACAUUGAAGAUUCUAAAGCGGGAAAGUUCAAGCCUAAUGUAGAGAAUGAUGAGUUGACUUUGGCGCUCGGGAAUCCCAAACACCCAGGGCAUUGCUGAAGCUUCGGGGUUGUCGUUGUCAAGAUUAGCGGAUCAAGACUAAGACUAGUAAAUUUCUUUUAUGCGCGUAAGGCUUCGGAUGGUGGCGUGAGAGACACGGGGUUUAGACUGGUUCGGGCAAGGAAGAGCCCUACGUCCAGUAUCGGGGAGCUGCUCGUGUUGCCCACGCGGGGUCUAUAGUAGGGGUUACAGGAGGGCGAGAGAGGGAGCUGGUCCCAAGUCUCUUGGGUGUGCACUGAGGCUCUAAAGGAGAGUGUGAGCGUGUUCUGUUGGCUUGAGAGAGUCUUUUGUCUUGAGGCCCCCGGUUCUCCUUUUAUAGCGCAAGGAGGCUACCGGGGUUACAAGUGAGACUGGGUGUGAGGAUAAGUAAAAGAGAUGAACUAAGUUAAGUAAAAUACAACAUAAGGAGAGGGACCAAGUUCCUAGACCGCCGGCGUCCUCUCCGGCUUUCGGCUCCUGCCAGCGUGUCCGCCGGAAGAGGGCGGCUGCCGUCAAGUCCGGUCGACGGUUUCCUUGGUGGCUGUUGCCGCCAGGCGUGAUGAUGGUGUUCUGUCGUGGCACCUGUGUCCAUCGGGGAAGGCGGCUAAUCCUGCCAUCCUGCUGAUGGCCCGUGGGACGUGGACGUCACGUUCCUGUCGCCGGAUGCGUGGGGUGAGAGAACGGGUGGGACUCCCUCCUGUGCCUGGCGGCGCAGGCCAUGAGUGCCCGUAGCGAAUCGGAGGGAGCCGCGACCACUGUAGCCUGCUCUGCACGGUCGCGCAUGGGUACUUGUGGCGGGUCGCGUCGGGGGCGCGGGCGCCUUUCUGCGUGCUAGAGCCGCGGCGCAUUUGUGGCGAGGUCGACAGGGAGACCCACAAGAUCCGCGCCCUGAUCUUCCAAUCUGCGCCCGAGGCGGAUAUUUGUCUUGCGGGCCCGGAUGAGUCCGACCCCCUGCGCCCUGGGUUGGGCGAGGCGGAGUCUUACGGCGGGGGUCGGGUGCUCCCGACCCUAGGCCCUUGGGUCAGGCGAGGCGGAGUCUUGCGGCGGGGGGUAGGGUGCUCCCGACCCUAGGCCCCUGGGUCGGGCGAGGCGGAGUCUUGCGGCGGGGGGUCGGGUGCUCCCGACCCUAGGCCCUUGGGUCAGGCGAGGCAGAGUCUUGCGGCGGGGGGUCGGGUGCUCCCGACCCUAGGCCCCUGGGUCGAGCGAGGCGGAGUUUGGUCAUCAAGGGGUCGGGAGCGUCCGACCCCGGAGCACUGGGUCGGGCGAGGCGGAGCGGGGCUCUCCCCUCCCAUGUUGGACUGACGGUAAUCUUUAUUACCUCAGGUGGGCCUGGGCCUUCAUGAUCAUUGUUUUAAUGGGCUUUAAGGGGUCGUUAAUAUUUCCCCCCAACAAGGGUGGUUCCAUGGAAGUUUGCUUUCCGUAGGAACAUCGACACGUACAAAAGCCGAAAGAGAAGAAAAUAACAGCAAGAGGAGAGGUGGCGGUGCAUGUUAGAAGCUAAAGUGCAUGAACAAGAUGUAAAAAUGCAGGAAGAAAUUAAUCGGCGAGUGGCCCUAGCAGUUACUGAGAUGGCCCAAUCUGGAGCACUGCCGGAUCCUAACAUCAUCGUCAACCCUUCUCAAUGUCGAAGGAGCUGUGCUUCCACAGGGAUCCCCGAUGAGAACAUGCUAAGCUUACCUGUGGUUACGCAGGACAACCAACGGUACCCUAUGGAUGACAUCACUCAGUGCACGUCAUGUGAGUUGUACAGAUCAUUUGGCAACCUCAUGCCAAGCUUACCUGUGGUUGCGCAGGACAACCAACGGUACCCUGUGGAUGACAUCACUCAGCGCACCUCAUGUGAGCUGUACAUAUCAUUAGGCAACCUCACUACUAAAGUAUAUAUAUAUAUAUAUAAAUAUAUAUAUAUAUAUAAUUUAUACAAUUAUCUCAAUUGAUCCACGUAUCGGGAGUUUAAUAGCUUCUUUAUUUUUCCUAUAUAUACAAGUGGUGGCGUAAGGAUAUUUUAUACAUUCUAUAACACAAAUAUUUCAUAACUUAUUUUUUUUCACUAAAGUGCGGAACAAGGGAAUAAUUUAUGUGGAUACUACGUUUGUGAGCACAUGUACCAUUUCGUGAGGGAUAAGAUGUACGUAAAAUAAACCUAUUAGUAAUUAAUUAUUUUCUAGCUUCUUAUAUUUAAUUAUUGGUGUAACAUUCACAUAUUUUCAAAUUACAGAUGAUGCAUAUUAGAGAAGAAUUCUUAGAGAAGGAGAGGCUUUUGGCAAUCCAAGAAGCUCUCAUAGGAUUUCUAAUGGACGAGGUGCUAAAUCCCAAUGGAGAAUUUUAUUAUGAUAGAUAUCCAAUAGCCGAACCGAGCAACACCCCGACGGGAGGAUUCUAAGAAUUAUGAGGAUAAAUUAUUGUAUAUAUAGUGAUUGUAUAAAUACUAGUUUGAUGUGUAUAAACUACUAAGAAAUGUAUAUAUAGUAGUUAAAAGUAAUAUUAUGCAUAUACUGUCAUGAAAUAUAUAUACGACAUGCAUGCAAUACGAGCGUAUACGUGUAAGUAGCAUACGCUAAGGAUGUAUACGUAUAGGUGUAAUAUAUAAGUGAAGCAACAGUAAGCAUUAAUAUUGAAAAGAAUUCAGGGUAAAAAGAAAAAAUGUCUUUAGUUUCGGUUGAUAAUACCAAAAGGGACUAAAGGGGCCACGUGCAUGUGCCUGCAUGGCGGCCCCUUUAUAUCCAACCGGGACUAACUAUUCGGAACUAAAGAUCCCCUCUUUAGUCCCAGUUGGUGUUAUUCACCCGGGACUAAAGACCUCCUUUAGUCCCGAGUUAUUCACCCAAGAUUAAAGGUCCCGGUUGGUAAAUACCAACCGGGACUAAAGAGGGGGAUCUUUGGUCCCGAAUAGUUAGUCCCGAUUGGAUAUUCGAAAGAUAUGACUCUCUCCAAUUGGGACUACUGCUCGAUUUUCCACCCGUGUAUGUAGAUGAGAGGCAUUAAAAAAAAAGAUACAAUUGCAUGACGGAUUAUUUUCUCUCCAAUGUUUGACGAAUACAAGUUGCUUCUUUCAUCAUGAAAUGGUACAAUAUUCUCUCAAAAGGAAAGGACAUGCAUGGAUCAUCGCACAUGCUACAUGUAUGAAAAGAAGUAUAGACCAAUGUGCAGUGUAGGAUCUUUUUCAGUCUGUUAGUUGUUUUUGGAAGCGUCACACAAUGAAAGCUAACAGAUGCUCAUGCCGAUCGAUGCACUCCAUACACAUAUUGAACUGCAGUCUGCAGGCGCUAGCCAAUUAGCCUCGCGUUACAUGAGAUCGAUUCUCUCGCAAAGUUGAUUAGCUACCAAGCAAUUUGUCUUUGCCGUUAUACUACGUGCGGAACGGCUCGAGGCGCCAAAACGCAGCAAUCCACCACGUGCGGAGCGACACGCACUCCCGUGCUCGCGGAGAUUGAAGCGAGCCUCCCACGCGUCUGUUCUCCGGUGGCCUCCGCUCCAAUGUAACGGCGGCGAGGAUCCUCCGCGUGGAGCGUUGACUCCCUGAUUCGCCCGCAGUGUGUGUCGUUCCGCAAUUGGAUGAUGGACGGGAAAGGCCGUUCAAUUUGGAUGUUUACUUAGGUUAAAAAACAGUCAUUUGUAAUUGGAAAAAAAACAACAGAAAUGCUACAUGACGCCCGACUGCCAGAGUACAUCCCAUUUUUUCUUGCAUCCAAUAUAUCUUCACUGUUGUCUCUUCAACUCCAGCGAGAUCCGCCCCCAUCCUUUCCAUCUCCGGCAAGAUUUAUCUCCUCCAGUGAGUUAGGAUCAGAGAUUGGAGGUUGAGGGUAGGGAUGAUUGCGGUUUGGGUGGUUGGAGAUUUCAUGAUUAAUUAGAGGGGGAGUUGGGGGAGGAAGGCCGCCAGCCUUGUGCUGAGAGGGUCGGUUGACACGUCGGCAAGGUAGAUAGGGUGUUGUCGGCUAGGAUAGUGGAGGAUGACAAGUGGGGAGUAGGGGCGGAGCUGGGCGGGCGAGUCACCGGUGUCAAUCCCACUGAACACCGGUGUCAGCUACACGAAUGAACAGUGCGCAACAGUGAUUUGCUACUGAUAUUCAAGAAACCAUAUGUGUCAGCUGACACCGAUGAACAGGCGUAGCUCCGCCCCUGGUAGGGAGGCUGGGAGGGUGGAGAUUGGGAUGAUUAAAAGGGCUCAAGGGUGUGAGGAUGGAUCUGGUAGCAGGAGCCGCAGGAGACGCUGGUACGAGGCGGGGCGGGGGCGGGGGCGGGGGUGUUUGAGGUCUUCAUAAACAUCUAUGGUGAUUGUAGGGAGGAAAAGGAAGAAAGUUAGAGGAAGAAAAUGGCUAGAUGAGGAGGAAGAAAGAAGGAGAACCGUUGGAUGAAAUGCUGCCGUAGAUUCAAGGAUUGAAAAUCUGAGCGUAGGUAGAGGGUAAAAAGACAUCCCCUAAAAUAAAUAGAUUUUUAGUGAGAUAUUGGUAAGUGACGAUGCUAAAUUGGUAGGAUUCACUCUCCUAUAUCCGAGUGUACCCGUGCAUUUCCUUAACAAAAUUUGAUUUAUGAUCUCUGCUUUAUUAUUUGUUUAAAGAUAUAGAAAUACUUAUUUUUAAUCAGCCACAAAGAAUUACUAAAUCAGAAACAUAGAACAUCUGAAGUUUCCAAAGGAAUUUAAUUAGUAAUUUCUUGAUGACAAUCGAUGCUUUUAAUUAUUUUAGUCUUUAUUAAAGAUGUUCACAAGAUGAAGUUUAGUAAACUAGCUCCCAAUUCAGCAAAUCGUAAGAAUAGUAUCUGCUCAAGUAAUUUUAGAUGGCGUAGAAUUAGGGGCGGAUUCAAGGGCUCAUUUUUCUUCCUCUUCUUCUUCGUCCAUAGCUGAAGGAGCUUUUUUUUUGGGGGGGGGGGGAGCCCCAGCCCCAUGCUAGAUCCGCCCCUGCAUAGAAUAGAUAUUCUAAUUUUUUGUAUAGAAUAACCUUAUUGUAAAAAUGUGGAAUAAUACAAAGAUAAUUUGUGCAUAAUCUUCACAUUGACCAACCAAAACCACUAUGACGUAAUUGUUGAUCAAAGCUGGAAUGCUUUUACUCUGGUCAAUGCCAUCCCAUUGGAAUGCUUGCAUGUGCCAACAAAAUUGAGAUGCUUGGUGUUUGCUAUACAGUUGUUUGCUCAAACUGGUACCAAGCCAUCAUAAGAUCGAGAACCCUGUACCACGCUGUAUCAUAAAUUUAUAAGCACAUCAACCAGCCUAAAAUUUGAACCAACCAGGUUUUUAUUUCCAGCUUCUCUAAAUUAUUGUUCCAUCGGGUCAGAAAUAUUUGUGUGUUUUAUGCCUUUUUUUUUACCUUGGCACGUUCUUCAACUGAAAUUUUUGCCAGCGGUUCCUUUUUUUUAAUAUUGUAAAGGUACUCCUCUAAUCGAAUGCACACAUGACUUAAAUGUUCCCAACAUAAAAAUGCACAUGUUAUAAAAGAUAUUGAUCGCUAAGUUUUUGAAAGAGUUUGUUCAUAUGAGUCCUAAGGUAGUACCCCUCCAUCCCAAAAAUAGGUAGGUUUAGGUUUGUCCCAAGUUAACCUUUUCAAUAUAGAUUGUUAACGUAAAAUUGAUGUUACUAGAUUAAUUGUAAAACCAAAUAUCAAACAUGUAAAUUUUCUAUUUGAAAUAAAUUAUAUAUUACAAAUAAUGUUGGUAAAAGAUAUAAAAAUAUUUGAUUUAGGAGAAAACCUAAACGUAGCUAAAUUAUGGAUAAAUAUGCUAAGGUAGUAAUAAAUAUUACAUUGCCUUUGCCCCUUUUGACAUCUUGAGAGGGUCAAUAUAGCUUUCUUUGGCAAGCAUACUUUGACAUGUAUGGCUUGUGCGUGCAGUUACUGAAAUGCAAGCAGAAGCAUUCCAAUGACCAGUGAGUCAAGUGUUUUAUAACAAAACUGGUUGCAUGAUAGCUCUUUCUUCAAAAGACAAAGGAGCCAUAAUGGUGGAAGAGGAAAAUAAGGACCAAAUUGAGCAACUUGCAUGAUUGUUGUCUGCACAUUGGGUGCAGAAAAGAUUGGCAUAUGCCAAUUCAGGAUCCUUUGAUGGAACAAAAAGCAAAUAGAAUGUUCAGAGAGAACAGAUAACCAAAAUGAGAGAAGCUCCGUAGCUUUAUUGUCCAUCCAUGGAUGAGGAAUCCUCCAUUUCUUGAGAAGCUAUAUGGAUGGGGAACAUUGACCACAGAAAAGCCGAAUAUUCCUACGUAAAAUCAAUAAAGCCAUGGCUUAUGAUAAAUCCUCCGAUCAGAUAACGAUGUGGAUUAAUCAAGAAUUAGCAGCCAAAGCAGCAUGGAUUAGUGCAGAUCAUCUCAUCCUUACAGCUGGAUCAACCAGCAAUGUGCCUGGAUGCCUGGCUCAGUAGCAUAUCUCUUAAUGCAUGCAUGGCUGAUCCAGUUGUUAGCUUUCCGAUUGAUAUCUUAAUGCUAGGCAGUGGGAGAACAACUCCUAAACAAAACAAUGUUAUCCCCGUCUUAUCUGCCCCAAACAUGCUACACAAAAUUGGGUAAUGCCUGUCCCCAUCAUGGACGACUAGCACGCACUCUCUGCUCAAAUCUUUUCCACUUUAUCAGUGGAUCGAAGAUUCCGAUUGAGCAGAGGAAAGCAGCAGCAGCAGCCUGUAGUUUGCACGACAGGAGAUAAUGCAAAAUAGCCCCCUGCAUGGAUUCGAUGAGCUAGAAUACUGGUGUUAGAGAUAGGAUAACAAUGAUUAAAGUUCCAGGCCACUUCGCCCAAUCCAAAGCUUCAUCUCCACCAUUAAACAAGCUUUAUAAUUAGUUCCCAGAUUUGGCAGUUGACACAGCUUCUUUCCUGGUCUUGGACAAAUCAUAUAUGGUAAGACAAAUGUGUACUGUAUAUCUUAACAGUUAGAUAAGGAAACUAGCAAUGGAGUCCAUGGUCAUCAUCACUCCAGUGGGGUUCUUAUACUAGUUAGGUCAUUUUCUUGAUGUGAUAAAUUAAUUUAAUUAUCAGACAAAUAUCAAGUCUGUAGCAGACUAGGUGGUUAAUUUGGUUCAACCUCCACUCGUGCAAAGCUAAUAAAAACUUUUUUCUUUCUUCAAUGAGAGGCAAGAAAACCUUGCUCCAAAAGAGAAGAAAGUUUGGUAAAACCCAAUGUUUAAGCUAAACCUUCUCAAAUAGCACUCCUUCGCUUAAGAAUUAAGCAAAGUGAAGCUAUAGCUACCAUAAUCUCCUCGUGGUCCCUGUUUCUUUGAAUUCAUAUAGUAGUGGUAGAUAACUCAACACGCAGGUAGCGUACGUGCAGUGUGCAUGCAUGCGGAUUGCACGUGCGGGAGUUACUAGUAGAAAGUUCGCUUGGGCCCUCGCGUGUGAUAUGUGACGUCGCGGUGGCAACUUCUGACCGUUGAACACUUGAACUAUUGGUAAGUCUGUUGCUUACAGUUGCAGUGAAUUGAAGCAAACAUUCUCUGCUCGUAUAAUAUGAACUUUCCACUUCUACAGUUUGCUCCUGUUAGUUGUAGGAAAGUUAAAGACUUCUUUUAAAGAAAAAUGAGGUGAAGUUUUGCCAAGUGAAGUUCUUCUGAUAAUUUUCAAACAUGCAUGUAGCUCUGCAGAAUUUACAGAGAAAAAAUGCCCCGUUUUGGAGUUUAAGUACCAGCUUUCCCUACCAGACACAUGGACUUUGGCGAUCUCGUAGGCUUGUAAAUAUUAGGACAACACUCCUACUAGAAAAACAACUUUUCGUCCACUCCCUUAGUACCGGUCCUAUAGAGCCGGUACUAAUAUUAGGAUUAGUACCGAGUUCAAUUGAGAUCUUUUAAGUACCGGGUAGUGUUACGAUACUAAAAGAUCUUAUAUAUUCAUAGCAUGUAUAAAAUAUAUUCAUAGCAUGUAUAAAAUAUACUGAGGUGCCAUGUUCUAUCGAUGAUUAUAGCCAAUCAAGUUACCACUAAAGUCCAAGCUACACGAUCCAGAAGGCGACUGCAAGUAGCAUCACUUUUUUCUGUGGUUCCCCGUCCAAUAACAUGUCCACAUCACACACCACAGAAGCAUAUUUAUAGUGGGCGCCUGUGUAAGUUUCUUUCCCUGUGUGUGAGCUGAGCUCCGAUCCAUCUCGGUAGCUACUAGCCUACUACCUAUCCCGCCAUCCCGGUCGGUAGCAAUACUGCAAUACCACUACCACCACAGUGGGGUUUGUGCUCUUGUGGACACACUGGCCUCCACCCAUCCCUCUCACGUCUCGCCAUCCGCAGCAAAGGCCACAGGACAGAUUCGGGCCGAUUUAUAGCCACACCAUGGCCAGGAAGUGCUCCCACUGUGGCAACUACGGCCACAACUCCAGGACCUGCGGCUUGGGAAACAGCAGGGAAACCAUGCUCUGCCAAGGCGGCGGCGACAACGGCGGCGGUGUCGGAGGCGGAAGCAGAAGCGGUGGCGGUACCAGCGGACUGAGGCUCUUCGGAGUGCAGGUCCAUGCUGGCGGCGGCGGUGCGGGCUCGGCGGCGGCGUCGAUGAAGAAGAGCUACAGCAUGGACUGCCUGCAGCUCGCGGCUCCUGGCUGCUCCAUCGUCUCGCCGUCGUCGUCGUCCUCGUCGUCGCUGCUGCUGUCCAUUGAAGAGGGCUUGGAGAGGGCGGCGGCCACCAACGGCUACCUGUCCGAUGGAAAUGCCAGAGUUGUGGCGGAGAGGAAGAAAGGUACGUCAAGACACAGAGCAAAUUUGCAGGUUGCCUUUUAAUUUGGUCUGAACUCUGAACAAAUGCAUAAUUUAGAUGCCUGUUUUUUUUUCUAUGAAAAAAGGGAGAGGAGAUUUGUUGUCUUUGAAAUUCAGAAACCUUUUUGUGUACCUAAUUUCAUUCUCUUAUUAUAUUCAUCAGUCUGACCUAACAAAGUUGCAUUAUCUUUUUCUUAUAAAAAAACGUUGUGUUAUCUUCUGAUGCAGCAAGUAAUCAGGCACCUAAGAGAUAUUUCCUUUUCUUUGACUAAAUCAAUGAACAAGAACAACUUGUCAUCCUGAAACCAUUGAAUAAUUGUUCUGUUGGUAACCAGACUACAGCUGACGAUGUUUCUAAACAAAUAUAACAAUAACAACAUCUGUGCACAUGAACACGCGUGACAGGCGUCCCAUGGAGCGAGGAGGAGCACAGGCAGUUCCUCGCCGGCCUGGAGAAGCUGGGCAAGGGCGAUUGGCGAGGCAUCUCCAGGAACUACGUCACGACGAGGACCCCGACGCAGGUCGCCAGCCAUGCCCAGAAGUUCUUCCUCAGGCAGAGCAGCAUGGGGAAGAAGAAGCGCCGCUCCAGCCUCUUUGACAUGGUAGGAAUUUCAUAUUUUUCAUGCACUACAAGUGUAGCCGUCCUGCCACGCAAGAACGUUUUUUGAUUGCCUGAAUUGUGAGUUCUUGGAUUUGUUAGCCAAUUAAUCGGUCUCCGGUGACUCCAUGACGCAACAGGUUCCCAUUUGCGAGAACAGUUCGAGCAUUUCCGAUCCGCCAAGCAGCGAGGGCGCCUCCACUUCCCUGUCGCUGAACGUGUCGCGCCAUGAACAGAGCUCCGAGAGGACGACGGCCUUCGACCUGAAUUCUACGGAGGAAGACGACGGCAGGGCCGACGUAUCGUCGGCGUCAGGUGCAGGGACCAGACCGUUCCCGGCAGCAGCAGCAGCUCCGCCACCGACGGAGCUGCAGCCUCCUCAUGGCCACGGGCACGGGCACGGGCACGGCCACCACCACUGCUCCCCGUUGGAGCUGGAGCUGGGCAUGUCCCUGUCCACCCCAUUCAUCGGAACAUGACGCGCCGCUGUCACCGUCGUCCUAGUCAUCGUCAUGGACUCGCGCAGGCCGCGCCAAGUUUCAUCAGCGCAUGUUGCUGCCAUGGCCGGGCGCGCCUGCCGCGUCAGAUAUCUCUACCAAAUGGAGAUGAUGAGGCGCUAGGUAAAUGCUAUUCGUGAAAGCAUUGUGCAAGAACUAACUGUGGAUACCGUACCGUGUAAUCAGCAUCGGUUCUGCUCCUGUACCAUGACACGUUCCUUGUUCAUAAUUCCCAUGCGCGCAAGGCAUGAAAUUUGCCAGGUUUUGUACAGGCUACAUAUAGUAAGGCUACAUAUAGUAUGUUGACACAAACCAAAGGCCGAGAUCGAACUUCUCGGUUGUAUGCAUCGAUCCAAUUUGUCUUCCUUGUUCGUCGAUUUUUUUUUUGUUUUCCUGCGUGCUGCCUACGUACACCGCUUCUCUGUAGUCAUUCCCAUCUCUACACCGCUUCUCUUGUCGCAUCGCACAUAUUCAUUCCUUUUCCACUUAACGGCCACAAAUCCAUGAUCCCCUGCCUUCACCAACACCCAACUGGCCAACCGGCUCUUGCAGCGCCACUGCCAAUCGUCGCUACCAAUAACAACCAGGUGUCCUACCCCCACCGCUAUCCUCGCCACCACUAUAUAUGGUGCCGGGGGCUAUUAUUCCAUUGCAUAGCUACGCUAUUGGAAGAUGAUUUGUCAUGGACCCCUCUCUCCUUUCAAACAACAGAAAUACACAGCCUACCAGACUGCCCGGCCAGCCCAGUUCGACCUAGCGACCUGAUUUGCAGUUUUGCACGACCCACACGUCUGCAAUCCCGAUUGCUCUUCAUCGCAAACUCACUGCCUCUCCGACCACAGAGUCGAAGACAAUGCCAUUGACCACUGACACCGCGAUAGAUCUUUGGGGGGGGGGGGGGGGGGGGGGGGGGGGGGGGCGUGGCGGCGAGGGGGAGUAGGCAAUGAUGGUAAGCGAACACGGGAUGCUAGCAACAAUGAGGAAGAAGUAUGGAAUAUGGAGAAAGGGGAAAAUGAGAAAAUUAAAAAAAAAGAAUAGAAGAACUAGAAAAAGAAAAAUGAACUAUGACGACAAAGAGUGUCGACAUCUAGUGUGUGACAAUAGGAAAGAGAAGAAAGCAGAGAGCUGGCGAUCGACUCGGAUGCAUGAGGAAGAAAACACAAGGGGUCGAUAUGGUUGUGUGACGAAAUUGACUAUGAUAGUGUAAGCGAUGUAUAAUUUCAGUGUCCUAUCUGUUGUUCAUUGCCAUCAUUGAGAUGACAAUCGCAUCGACUAUUUUCUACGGCCCAGGAGUCACAAAAUCCCCUUAACCCCUGCUUGAACCGUAAUCAUGAGCUCGCUGGUGCUAGAUUUCGCUGGAGGUCGUUAACAAUGCAGCAGAGGUGGUUAAAACUAACAUUUUAGCGCGCCAGCAUUUCAGCAUUGAGGCUAGCUUAUAUACGAGGCACAUUAAAUCACAAGAAUCACUGUUCCUGCCCGCGCCUGUCUGGUGUCCGUGUCUACCGUGAAAGGCAUUGGUCACUCAUGCUUCCACAGGCUAUGACAAGGGAGCGAUUCAAUUCAGAUGGCAACGGCCAGCAGCAUCAUGUGGUGCCCUGCGUCUUAUUCUCGUAUCACAUCAUUUCGGCUGGACCUGCGGCGGCGAUACCUUCCAGAUCCGCGAUAUGGUUGUGCUCCGGCCGGCCGUACGGCCAAACGCGUGCUGUCCAGGUUCAUCCAUGGAGCCGCAUCGUCAGGGGUCUGCACGGCGCCAAGCUGCCGACGCCCAACAGGUUGCAUCAAGUACGUGCCCAAUUGGUGGGUUGCCUUCGGCCCUGCGCCGUUCAUUUCACGUAGCACCUUGACACCUGGGGUCCCGAGUGGGGACGGAGCGCCACGCCAACCAAGUUGCAGAGUGGUUUCAUGCCCAAUUUGCCAAUUGGGCUUGCUAGCUGCCGGAUCCUUGUCACACGGAUCGAUGACGCGUCUGUUGCUGCGCAACUGAGGUAGGAUCACAGAUUCACAGGAGUAUCUCCUCCUCGAUCUUGUUUGUCGUUCAUGGCACAGCACUCUGCUAUACGUGGAAACAGUGACGCGAACUCUUCAUGAAAAACGUGCAACGAAAGGAAACCACUUAACCCGAACGCCCCCGCGCCGCUCCUCCUCGGGGUGACUCGGGCGUCACCCUAGCGACCGGCACCGCCGUCCCAUCCAGCGCCGCUUCUCCUCCUCGCCAUCGCUCGAGCGGCAGCUGGAAACCUGCGCAGCCACAAGGAAGGCGGCAGCGGGGCUCCACCAACCUCCUCUCCUUUCCUCCCCCUCACGCUCUUCUUGGUGGCUGGCCUCGCCCAUGGCGGCGGCGGUUGGCUCCAGCCGUGCGCGGGUGGAUCCAUCCUGUGGUUGGCUGGAUCCGCACCCUCGAACGCUGGAUCUGCUACCCCAAGGCUUCGGCGAGUCGGGGCAUGCGUCAUCAGCUGCUUCUUCCUAUGGUGGCGACAGACUCCGGCUACGGCGGCGCGGUGGCGCCGCCGGUAGCCGGCGCACGAUGUUGCCCGGCAAGGGCAGCGUCCGCGGUGUGGCUCGGCUGCGGUGGCUGUUUCUUCCCGGCUGCGACGACGUCCGUGGCUGGCACACGGCGACUGCUCUUCCUGGAGCAGCGGUGGUGCCCGCGGGCAGCGCCGGCCGUGGGUCCAAGGCGCGUACGGCCCAAGGCCCUGCAGUUGGGGCUGCGACCGGGCACUCCAGCGGUAUCGCGGCCUGCGCCUGUGGUGGACGGGUUCCAAGCUGCCAGCAUCUAUUCGUUCUAGCGAGGUGGAUGGUGUGUCGGCGGCGCCGCGGUGGCGUGACCGACAAUAGUUUGCUCGGGCGUAUGCCAACGUCACCGUGGUGACGUCGUUGGCUGCGAUCGUGCGGAGGCUCACCAGUAGCGCCAUGGUGGUGAGGCUGGAUGCACCGGCCGUCUCUUUACACCGCGGUGACAAUGUGGGUGAAAACCCAUCCCUCCUUGGGACGGCGUCGAUGGUGCCAUUGGCAUCAUGUCCUUCCUGAAUGAAGGCGACGUCGGGCAUCUUGGGCGCGGAUCUUGGCUCCUGUUCGGGGCUAACGACAAGGAUGCCGGUCUUCCCUGUCGGAUGAGGUGGGUGAAAACCCAUUCCAGUUUAGGCUGGCAUCGACAAUGUUUCCGACAUCAUGACCUUCUUGAAGACGAUGUCAAGUAGUUCCGGCAAGGAGGCUUGAUUCAGCGGCGGCUGCUUCCGAGAGGAUGCUCUUCUUUCUUUUCCUUUCUUUCUCUUUUCCUUUUAUUAAAAAAAAGAAACAGUCUUUGGCGUCGGUUGUGUGGUGGCUCAUGUCAACGUCCCAAUCUGACCGGGCAGAGUUUGUGGAGGCUCAGGUCGAUGUCCCAUUUUGAUCAGGCGAAGCUUAGUGGAGGCUUGUGUCGAUGUCCCAAUCUGACCGGGUGGAGUUGUUCGCUGGCAGCAGUUCCGUCGCGACGGGCUGACGGCAGGGUGUAGGAUGGCAAACUUGACGGGGGUUGCCUAACUCAUGUGGAUGCGAUCAUAGUUGUGGCGGCGGCCAUGGGUUGCCACAUGUUUGUCGAGUUGGCUGCUUGCAGCGGACCACAACGGCUGGCAUUGCUUAGCAGCUAUUAGUGCGGUGUGGGACUGCGUUGGAGGAUGGCGCUUGCAACAACGACAUCGUGGGACAACUAGAUUUGCAGUGGACUGCGGUGGGUUGCUCAGCUAUGCUGGGUCACAGUAACACCUCGGGUGUUAAUCUUAGGCAUUGCAUUUGUUGAAGUUCUUUAAUUUGUUGCUUAGUGUGCAAAUCCAACUUUGUGAAGUAACUUAAAUGUGUGUUAUGCAACUGUGGCUCCUGUUAAUUUAUUUAAAUACUAGAUGCAAAGUGAUGAAUUUAAAGUAUUUUUGUAUAAUUUUUUGAUGAUUUUUUCUUCUGUUAAAAAUUCAGUGAUGUUUCAAUUUUAACUAUUUUUCUUUUUAAUUUGUGUGUAAACCUGAUCUGGAGGUGAUUCAAGUUUCUUCAUGUUCUUUGUGAUUUUAUCUUUAUAUUGAAUAUUUUGGGGCAAAUUUUGGGCACCUGUAGCUGGCUUGUUUGAAGGGGGAAGUUUAAUUCAAAAUAUGCCGCUGGGCUCGCCUGUCACCUCCUCCUUUCUCCCUCUUCCUGCUGCCCAUGCCGUGCCCAUGCCCCCGGCUGCUCACUCGUCCUCGGCCGUCCUCGUGCCGCUGCUCGGCCGUCCUUGUGUCAUCCUCAUCCACUGCUCUUGGUCCUCGACGACUUCUUCGGCCUUAUAUCCUCUCCAAGCCAGCCGGCCUCCCCUACCUUCUCCCUUUUUCUCCUUUAUUCUUCCUCGAGUCAAAGGCGAACUGGGCCAAGCUCCCUUGACUCGCCGGCCGAUUCCUUCCAAACCCCUCCACCAUUCCUAAAUCACCGCCACCUACAGCUCACACACCCUCUCUAAUCCCUCCUCCACCACGUAUUGCCCUGCGCCUUGGCUCCUAGCGCCGGGGAUUUAAGAUCCCGCGGCCGCCAUUGCCGCCGGCCCAAGCUCGGGCGCCACCACCGAACACCACCUCCCUAGCCUCCUCGUCCCUAACAAGCCGCCAAAAUGGGGUCAUGGUGAAGCCCCCGUGCUCCUAAACCCAUCACCGGCCUUGGUGUAGUUCUUUUAUGCACUUACUCGACUAGCGACUGUGUUGUCAUGUUUGCAACUUAUUCACUAGCUUGCAUUGCAUCGUGUCAUACAUGUAGAUUCCAUAGCUGAGGACAUGGUGUCUCGGAUCGUGGCUGAACAAGGAGAGAAGGGCCAGAUGGAGCAGUCCGAAGCCCCAGCCCAAGGUCGCAAGGGCCCAAGGCCUUGUUAGUACUAGCACUGAGCAGUAGAAAGGCAAGCCCCGGAGCAUAACUCCUAUUUCAACUUAUGCACUUAAUAUUUAAUUAUGUAUUGUACAUUUAUGUUAUAGGAGUUGUAUGAAACCCUAGAUGCAUGAUCCAUAGGGUCCCAUGAGUAUACUAGUAUGUGUAGGUCAUUAGUACUGCCAUGCUUAAUUAGGAUUUGGUAAAAGUCGAGUGAUUUUUUGUCACUCGCGAGAUAUAGGACCUUUGAUACUUGUGGCAAAUGUUACUUGAGAAUGAAUCACUGAGGAAUGAAAAAUGGAGAUGGAGAUCAGGCGGAGAUGAGUUGGUUAAGGAAAUGAGAUGGAUGGAAAGUAAGCCUCCGCCUGUGUCGGUUAAGGCCUGAACCGUUGUUGGUUGUGCUGAUCGAGUUUGAACAGUACUAAUCACAUGCCGUAGUAGGAGGUAGUUGAAACCGGUAAACCUACGUACCUUCAUGCGCGCUAGUAGAUUGAGCUUGAUGUCGUUAUCUUAUUCAUGUAUUAGUUGGUAACUAACUCAUGUUUGACCGUGGGAGGUAUCGGUGGGGGCUAGUACUUGAGAGUCAUGGGGCAGUUCAAAUGAUGUCUUUCACGCAGAGAAUGGUUGCCAUGCACUGCUUGACGGUGUAUGUGAUUAGGUUUACUUUGUAAGGGAUAAAAAUUGGAUCGAUUCGCCGUACCUGUCAGGGAUAGAUCCUCAGCACCCUCAAGGAAGGAAGAAGACAGACUCCUACUAGAAUUUCUCUAUAAUCCUACUAGGACUUAUACCAUGUAAUCCUACUAGAGCUCCUCCUUGUAACCGACUAGUAAUCCUACCCCCUGGAGUAUAAAGGAGGGCAGGGGUACUUAGAUCAGCAGCUCAGAACCAACAUCAAUAGCCAACAAUCAGGCUACACAACACCCAAGCGCAGGGCGCAAUAUACAACACCCCAAGCAGGAUGUAGGGUAUUAUGCUACUCUGGCGGUCCGAACCUGUAUAAAUCUGUGUCUUGUGUUUUCGCUUUUACCUUCGAGUUCCAGGUCCAGUGAUCCCCCACCAACCAAUCUACUACCUCGGGAUACCCCUCGGUAGGUUGCUGGGUAUAAAACACCGACAAUUCUCUCGGAUAAGAGAACCUUGAUCACUUAGUCACUCGUACUAAUGGAAAUGAAAUGGUGGCGGUACGAUAUAUGUUGAUUGUUGGUUAAACUUGUAUACAAUGCUUGCUCUAGAUGUUUAUGCAAAUUUAGUUGGUACUUGUUUCAUUUAAACUUAAGAUAAAAUGUUGAAAGUAAAGAUCUACUUGUAGUAAUCUCUUUUUGGCAAAAGAAAUCCAGCGAAUCAGAAUCCUUGCAUGCUAGGAGUCGGUUAAGUAUAUACCAUAGUCAGGUAAGACUUGCUGAGUAUUAGUAUACUCAGGGUUGUUGUCGUAACCCUAUUUGAGGUGGGGUUGCUUCCCUAUGAUGGCACAUCGGUGGGUUCAAUGUGUUGUCAUCUGUUCAUCGUCUAGCUUAGCUUUACCUUUGGUUUUGAAGUUUCUUUCCACUGUUCAUUCAAAAGCUCUGUAUCAUUGUGUAUUUGAACUCUGUUUGUAAAGCUAAGUACUGUACAUUAAUUUAUGUAAACCCCGUGAUGUUUGUAUUAUUUCUGCUCAUCUUCGUGUGAGACUUGUGGUGUAUUGUUUCAAUCGAGAUAUUCAGUGGCUGAAUCGGGCUUGACCCGAUAGACUCUCAGAUUACACCGUUUUAAGUGGGUAUUGACCGGAUUAACCAUUAAGAGGAUGGUUAGUGCACUUAAGCCAGUUUAAUUUGGGCGGUUCUGCCACAACUACUCCGGUGCGGUAGGCUAUGUGCGUGGGUUGAGCAACAAGGUGAAGUCGACCUGCGGCGGCAGCUUGGCUGUUUGAUGGAGAUCUUGGGUAGCGGGGAAAAUCCUAACAACGACAAAAGAAAUGGAUUCGUGACAUGGAGUUUUCUUGAGGCGGCAAGAGCAAGGAGGAGUCCAGCGGUGGAUGUGGCGAGGCUCCCGUGCGUUGUGUUUUCAUGGCGGCGAUUGCGAGGCAGCCUAUGAGAAGUCCGAAUCUAGUAGUAUCACUUUGUCGGGAGGAGUGUGAUGUUGCAGUGGCACUACGGCGAAGGGUCCUGCAUGGCGGUAGCCUUCUCGGUGUGGUGCGGGUGCGAUCUGAUUCUCUCGAUUCCCUGUCAACGUGGAGUCACGCCUAAAGGUUCGGCAACUACAUGAGCGUGAGAUUGGGUGCCGCGAUAAAGGCAUGUUGAGUGGAGUGGUGCGAUCAUGUUGAUGUCCCAAUCCAACCGGUCGGGUUUUGCAGUCUUGAGUUGAGUGGUUCCUGCGUUGACGUCCCAAUCCAACCAGGCGAGUCAAGCUGUUUUUUUUCCUUUCUUUUCUUUUCCUGCCUAUAGCCUCCCAGGGUUAUAGUAUUGUAUUUUUUCUGCUAUAUCAAUAAAAACUCGCACUAUCACGUGCGGUUCGUUAAAAAAAAUGAAAAACGUGCAAAGCACAUUCUUGAAAAAAAACAGUGAUGUGAGCAGGCAAGAGGUAGGGGACGUUUGGCGCUUAUCAAGCGGAGAGGGGAGUGCUGUGUCUGUCUCAAGAUUCCAGUGUGGUAGCUAGAAGAGGAUAUGAUACGGAUAGAUGACAUAUUUUCUUUCCCUUUCUUUUGGGUUGAUCGGUACAUGCCACCUGGCAGCAAAUAGUAUGGUUUCUGCCUGCAAAAGAAGCAUCGUGCUUGCAUAAUCAGCACUCCCACCCAUCAAAAGCCAUGGGAUGGAAAAGGUUAAAAAGCCUCAAGAGAAUAUCAACUUUUAUGACACACUUCUAUCCAUCGUAUACGUCCUCCCGGCACGCUGCACGUGUGCGCCUGAAAUAGGCAUGCGGUGCAUGCAUGAGCAAGAACAACAGACAAGGAGGCGGCGGAGGAACUAGGAAGAGGGGCUGGGUCGGGGGACCAUCACGUCGGCUGCAAGGGGUCGGGGGCCGGCGCUCCAACCGAGUGUCCGAGUUCAUGGACGGCGGCCGUCCUCUUCCUCCUCCGGUCCCAGCUCACAGUUGCUCCACCGCUAGCGUGCUCAUCCUUGUUCCUGGUUCAUCCGUUACAUGAAGAAACCAAACAAAGCACGUAAUGGCUUAAAUCGUUUACGUUUACAGGUCUCAUCCAUUCCCUUUACGUUAACGUUUACACCCAAAAAAAAGAAAAAAAGGGCACCAUAUUUUUUUUCUUUUUUUUUGGGUGAUAGGUACAUGCCACUUGGCAGCCAAUAGUGCGAUUUUUUACUGCAAAAGAAGCAUCGUGCUUGCUAGAUUCAGUGGAUAAUCAGCACUCCACCCAUCAAAAGACAUGGGAUAGAUGGAAAAGGAUAAAGAAGCCAAGAGAGAACUGACCUUUCAUCCGGAUGCUUUUGUCCCGGUUAAUUUUGAACCCGGUACUAAAGGACUUUUAGUCCUAGGUCAAAAAUGAGCCACCGAAGAUCACAUAUGGGAGGGGCUUUAGUCCCAGUUGUAAAUACCAGCCCCCUUAGUCCCGGUUGUAACAGCUAGAAAAUAUUGCACUGACGCACCCCUUUUGUCCCAGUUGGAAAGCUCCCUUGUCCCGGUUGGAAUUUCCAACCGGGACUAAAGAUUUAAUCGCAUUGGACUAAAGAUUUAAUCCCGGUUGGUAAUUUUAACGGGAUAGGGGGGAGGGCUUUUGUCCCGGUUGGAAACACCAACCGGGACAAAACACCAACCGGGGUUCGCAGGCACGCACGCGCACAUAGGCAACUCUUUCUUUUCUUCUCCACCUUGUCUCCUCUCCUCCUCCUCUCUCUUUCCUAUUUCUUGUGCACACAGCUAGCAGCUCCUCCUCCUCUUCCUUUCUUCUUCCACCUCCUCCUCUCCCUUUCUUUUCCGGGCGGGCGGGCGGGCGGCCAGCUGGCUCCUCUCCCUACUCCUCCCCCUCUUCUAGGCGGGCGGGCGGGGCGGGCGCGAGCGGCGGGCGGGGGUGGUCGGGGUGAGCGCGGGCGGCGGCGGCCGGCGGGCAGGCGGGUGGUCCAUUUGUCUUUAUUUUUUUUAACUUUAGUUCCGGUUGGUUUUACCAAUGGGACUAAAGGAGGUCUUUAGUCCCGGGUGAAUGACUCGAGACUAAAGAACCCCUUUUGUCUCGAAAAUUUAGUCCCGGAUGUCUUUAGUCCCGGGUGAAUGAUCCGGGAUUAAAGAACCUCCUUUUAUCUCGAAAAUUUAGUCCCGGAAGGAUUUUUGGGAUCUUUGACCCCUACCAACUAGGACUAAAGGUCCAUUUUUCACGAGUGGGUAUCAACUUUUAUGGGUAUCAACUUUUAUGAAACACUUCUAUCCAUCGCAGAUACGGGGAACUUGCUUGCGGCUACUAUCAGAAUAUCGCUUGCUAUGUGUCUCGAGAUGGCGCCCUUUCUACUUCUCUUUCAGAUUUGAAAACUGAAUGUAUUUUGAUCCAACUAUGUGGACCAAUUGUUUCUUUUAAAAACCCCAUCCCUCCGCUUCUUUCCAUUACCUCCCUACUCCAUUAGGCAUCCAAAAAAUAUAUUAUUAGAGCUCAGUGAGACUCUCCAACAUCUAAUGUGUCUGGGAUGUAUGCUCCUCGAAAGAAAUCCUCUCACGAAUCCAGAUACAUGCGGACAACAACGUACGGGACCAAAGCAUCCUCAAUUCCUCAUCAUCGACAAACCUCUUGCUCGCAUGUGCAACCACCCCCCAUAAUCGUCAUGUAGCUCCAGAGAAAACCGAGAACGCCAAGCACGUGAGCUGAGCGCGGCACACACAGGUGUCCGGUACCCGGCCGCGCCGGCGAUGACUGGCCACGACAAACCCUAUCCUAUCCUUCCAGGAUCCUUCGUGUUCGUGCUCCCUGGCCUGCUGCCGAUCCCCGCCGGGGACCACGGGCCACGUACGCUGCUGCUGCGGGGGCGAGAUAAAAUUUGGACGCUGCGCAGGGCGCCUUUCCGCCGACGGCGACGCGCCAGCGACCCUGUCCGGCUGUCCCCCCUCCGCUCCCCUCUCCACCGUCCCUUCCACGUACGCGCGCGGGCGCGGCUGAUUUGGGCUGCCUCGUCGUUGUCCACGCGAGCGUUCGUGUCGUGACAUCUGCUUGGCGGGGCGCGCGCGCGCGCUGAUAGGCACCCGCGUGGACGCCGGCGACCCAGGCAAGAUACUGUCGGUGGCACCGGCUGCUUGGCUGCAGGCGCAGGAAAUAAGCGUGAUGGCGCCGUAGCCAUCGGCCGAGGUCGCUCUGGUGAGGUUCUUCGUGUGGAUCGGAUGCUUGGUUUUGGCAGCUGGGUCCUCGCACGUCGGAAUGCUUUUGGUUUCUGGCACUGGAUCAGGACCACCGUAUACGUGUUUCUUCAUUCUUGCUUCUCUUGUUUGCAGGUGUAUGUAUGUCUGGGAGUAGUGUACGUCUAUGCUGGCAGUGGCCAUGUACAGAUAUCGUGUUUCUGUACCAAAGGUACGUACCUAUAUUCACUGGAUCUGAGACAGAGACUCGCUCUGCUUUAUAUAAAGCAAAGCAGAGUACGGAGUACGCUGUUGUUACGACUUACGACACAGGAGUCAGAAAGUCAGGAAGACCAAUGCUAUGCUACAAAACUAAACGAUUUUGGCUAUAAUCCUGGACAGGAAGAAACCUAACCUCCCUCUAUGAAAAACAAAGAAGACAUUCCAGACGAAGUGCAACCGACCAUACAAGGUUUAACAAGAUCCUACUACAUACUGCAAAAAAAAAAACACUUCCCAUCCAACGAAGUAAACAAUGAUGCUUGCUGGCUUUUCUAAAAGUGAUGCUUGUUGCGCACUAUCAACAGCUGGUGCUUCAGCUGGCCUCUCGUCUUGUCGAUCCGAUGUUGUACUUUGCUCCUUUUGCAUAGCAGUUUCCAUCGCUGCAUAAUAAGCCAAAGCAGUCGGAACACCAAGAAACACACUCAUCAAUUGGUUAGAUUUAUCUCCCCAUGAUGCCAUUUAUCCAAAUUACAUAGAGCGUGAUGCCAUUUCAAAGCUCCUCUAAACAUAUCUUGCCUCAAACAAGAUGAACAAAACUUGCCUCAACUGAGAGCAUUGGGCGCCAUCGACAAACCCAGUUUAGCUAGUUCGUGAGCUACUUUAAUACAAUGAAAUUACUUGAGACUUGAGAGAAAGUAUUUGGGGCUCCUAGAUAAAGAGCAUCAGUAGGAGCAAAGUCAGACCAUUGGUCUGCAAUGCCUUCUUCAGAUUUAAUUCAGUGCAUCGGUCUUCAAGAUCUUCCUGUUCCUGCACCAGCUGCAAAAAAAAGUUUCUUAAGAUGAACUGAUGGACCUAUCUAAGAUCGAGCCAAGCCUAUGCAUACAAAAGUAGAAAGGAAAAAAAAUCUCGGUUUUCUGUCCUGAUUCACAUCAAUCGACAGUGACUUUCAAGGCUGAACCAUUAACUGCACAUAGUCAAACAGCAGAAAGUAAUACUACGAAACAACAUCUUGAAUUUGUUUGAAGGAGGACAACGACCAUAUAGCAGGAAUGGUUCAUUGAUAUGCUUCCAGUAUAUGCCUAGUGCCUGCCACUUUGGUUGUAAUUGUAAGCUGCAGAACAUGUUGCAUCUGACAUUUUGCAAAUCAUCUUCGUUGCUCUGUGACACCCUCUGUACGUCCUUCGGCCGUCAGCAGGGGUUAGAAUGCCUCGACCUGAAGAGCACUGAGACGCGACGUGCUGUUUCAAAUGAUCGGUCCUGACGUUGAUAUAUUAUGUUGGAAUGUAUGGGGUCUCAAUCAGCAAGCCCGUAGGGAUGUAGUUCACCAGUUUGUGGCCAACACAACGUGCGCCAUUGCAUGCUUCCAGGAAACCAAGCUUGCACAGAUAGAUGACUUCACUUCGUCUUACUUAGGUGGGUACAGGUUAAACAAAAACGCUUUCGCGCCGGCCACAGGAGCUUCAGGUACAAGAGGAGGACUGCUGAUAUUGUGGGAUGAGAGGGUAGUGCAGGUCUCACAGAUUGCUGUGGGGAUGUUUCAUUUAUCAGCCUCUAUUUCACUACAUGAUGGCGAAACAUUCAGACUGUCAAAUGUCUACGGACCAUCCAGUCAGGGGCAAAAGAGAGCCUUCUUACAAGAAAUGCUCACACUUAAGCCUCCCAGUGGGACAUCGUGGAUUAUAAUGGGCGAUUUUAAUCUCAUAUACAGAGCCGCGGAUAAGAACAAUUCUAGGCUAAAUACUAGACUGAUGAGUCUAUUUAGAGAGGCGAUCAGCGAUUGCGAGCUCAAGGAAAUUCCACUACAAAACCGCCGCUUCACAUGGAGCAAUUAGCAACAAAAUCCGACGCUUGUCCGACUCGACCGAGUGUUCUGUAAUACGGAAGGUGACGCCUUAUUUGCCUCCCAUACUCUACAUGCACUUUCAACAUCGCACUCGGAUCACUGCCCACUACUCCUCUCCAAUCAAAGUGGACCACAACGGCCAAAGACAUUCCGGUUCGAAGAGUUUUGGCCAAGAUUGCCACGCUUCAAGGAGGUAGUAACUGAAGCUUGGAGUAAGCUAUGCACUCAUCACGAGCCUUUUCAUCGCCUGUACUACAAGUUACAGGAUACUUCCCAAAUGCUUAGAGCCUGGAGCCACAACUUUUACCCGGAUGCCAAGAUGCAGCUUCUCAUGGCGUCUGAUGUCGUCCUUAGAUUGGAUAUGGCACAAGAACAUAGAGCCCUCACCAGGGAUGAAUUGAACUUGCGACGAAAACUUAAGCGAAGAAUCCUCGGCCUGGCGGUGGUUGAAAGGGUCAGACGGAAACAAGCAUCACGCAUUACGAACAUCAAAUUAGGUGAUGCUAAUACCAAAUACUUCCAUCGGAGGGUUAACGGAAGGAAGAAGAAAAACUACAUUCAGCGACUAAAGCAAGGGUCCAGUUGGGCUUUCAAUCACGAAGAAAAAGCAAACAUAAUUCAACACCACUUUGCUACGAUGAUGGGACCACCGGGACAACGAUCACAGGACGUUAACUGGGAUAGCAUAAAUCUCCCCAGUCUGGACCUCAGCUCCCUCGCCGAACCUUUCACGGAGGAGGAAAUUAAACGUGCAAUACUCGACAUACCAUCGGACAAGGUGCCCGGACCAGAUGGCUUCACCGGAGCAUUUUAUAAGGCCUGUUGGGAGAUUAUAAAGCGCGACGUCAUAAACGCAGCUAACGCUUUUCAUAACUUACAUUGCACGAGCCUGCCAUUAAUCAACACAUCCAACGUAGUGUUGUUGCCAAAAAAGGAUGGGGCCGAGGCAAUCCCUGACUUCCGACCGAUAAGUUUGAUACACUCAUUCAUCAAGAUUAUUACAAAGGUGCUCGCCAUGCGACUGGCCCCGCACAUGAAAAACAUUGUAUCACAUCGGCUUUCAUCAAGCAAAGGAGCAUCCACGAUAAUUUUAUGACAGUCAGGAACAUGGCGCGUCGCUACCAUCGACAACGAAUCCCAGCACUAUUCUUUAAGCUUGACAUCGCCAAAGCGUUUGAUUCGGUGCGAUGGGACUAUAUGCUAGAUUUACUUCAACGCUUGGGCUUCCCCAUUCGUUGGCGGGAUUGGAUCGCCUCUCUAUUCUACACAUCUUCAUCUAGGAUCCUUCUCAAUGGGGUCCCAAACAGCCCCAUCAAGCACAACAGGGGCCUACGGCAAGGAGAUCCUUUAUCUCCUUUACUUUUUGUGAUUGCAAUUGAACCACUACGAGCUUUGCUGGAACAGGCCACUGACAGAGGAUUCAUAUCCAAGCUGCGAGGCAGGUCCCUCAACUUCCGAACAUCCAUGUACGCCGACGACACGGCUAUUUUCCUAAACCCGACUAGGCAGGAUGUCAUUUCCUUAGCUAACCUACUCACUAGAUUUGGUGAAGUGUCGGGGUUGAGAACAAAUUUUGAGAAAUCUAGUGUGGUGCCUAUAAGAUGCGAAGGGCUUAAUAUGGACGACAUAUUUGGAGACAUUCCAGUCACACGGUCCUCCUUUCCGAUGCGAUAUCUUGGACUUCCACUAACGACGUCAAGGCUCAAGAGAGUACACUUCCAAUACGUUAUAGACAAGGCGACCUGCAAACUCACUGCAUGGAAUGCUAGGAACAUGACUAUGGCGGGCCGCCUAGCACUCACGAAAUCAGUAUUAACAUCACAGGCGGUAUACCUCCUGUCGGCAAUGGAGGCCCCCAAAGAGGUAAUGAAGGAAAUUGAUGCAAAGCGCAAGAAGUUCUUUUGGGCAGGGGCGGCGACAUUAACAGGGGGAAAAUGCAAAGUGAACUGGCAAAGGUCCGCCCGACCGACAAGACUGGGGGGAGCAGGUAUUUUAAACAUCUACAAGUUUGCAAGAGGACUGAGGCUCAGGUGGCUGUGGCAUGAGUGGAAAGCAGAAGAUAAGCUUUGGGUAGGCUCCGAGGUUCCGUGUAAUAACACGGAUAGGAAAUUAUUUGCGGCAUGUACACGUAUCGUCGUAGGCGAUGGAGCAAAGACUUCCUUCUGGAAUAGUGCCUGGGUUCAAGGCCAAAGGCCAAAGGACAUAGCGCCAAGUAUUUUCUCCAUUUCAAAAAGAAAGAACAGGAGUUUACGUGAUGCGCUUCACAACCGAACUUGGAUCCGAGACAUCAACAUACAUCACAGCAGUUUCUCGGUGCAACACUUCCGAGAAUACGUCCUUCUGUGGCAAGUCGUACAACAGGUAGCCCUACGCCCGGGUGUCCAAGAUGAAAUCACUUGGAAGUUUACUGCAGAUGGUAACUACUCCGCAAAAUCCGCUUACGCCGCACAGUUCAUUGGUUCGGCUUCCACCAACUUUGACAGCUUGAUAUGGAAAAUAUGGGCCCCUAGAAGCUGCAAAACCUUCUCCUGGCUCGCUAUCCAAAAUCGCCUUUGGACUGCUGACAGACUUCAGAAAAGGGGAUGGCCGAAUCCAGCUACCUGCCCACUAUGUCGGAGAUCACAAGAAUCGGCGCUACACCUUUUCGCCGAAUGCCGGGUUACAACAAGAAUCUGGGCCAUGGUGGCGGACUGGUUAUCGGCGCCAGCAAUCCACCCGAGGGCUUGGCAACAGGCCGAUACGCUGCACCACUGGUGGUCGAUGAGAGCAGGAGCAAAUUCCUGCUCCAAGAGAGGCAUGCGAACUUUGAUUAUGCUAGUUACAUGGACAAUUUGGAGGGAAAGGAAUAUGAGAAUAUUUAACAGCAAGGAGUCUUCUGUCAAUAUGAUUUUUGAGAGGAUCAAAGAUGAGGCCACCGUGUGGAUUAUGGCGGGAGCGAAACAUCUCUCCGCUCUAAUGGUGCGAUGCUGAUUGCGACUGAGUUCAUAGUGUUGCUUUAUUUUAUUUUAUACUUCUGGCACAAUUUUGCCUCAUGUCAUUUCAUUUUUGAUUCAUUGUACUUAUCCAGUCUGGAUUCCUCCUUUUUAAUAUAAUCGGCAGCUCUCCUGCCAGGUUCGUUUCAAAAAAAAAUGCCUAGUGCCUGCAGAUAAACAAAUGUGUCUGCCGAAUCAUGCCUUGUCCAGCGACAAUGAACGGGGAGGAACUUUUUCGCUAAGUCCAAAUCAUCCUUCAAAUCAAAAUCUUCUGGUACAGCGCGAGACUACCUGCUUGCAUCCCCAAUAGUCAACCAAAUCACGAUUUCUCUAACAGAGUAAUAGGUGGAAUCAUUGACUUUUUCACCUGCAGGCUCAUACUUUUCUCUGAAUAACAGCUACAAAUUCUACUCUUAACUUUAACGACUCUACUGAUACAUGCAUCAGUAUUAGUAUCACAGAAGAACCAUAAACAGCAACACAAUCUCAUGACUCCAUUAUCCUCCAUGGAUGCAGCUGCAGCUUUUUGCCUCCUGCUUAUUGUAGCCACUACAGCUUCCUGCUCCGUGUAUGCACAACAAACCAAUGUUGGCUGCACCACAAAAGAGAGGGAUGCACUGCUCUCGUUUAGAGCUGGCAUCACAAGUGAUCCACAGAAUCCCCUUGCCUCGUGGAGUGGCAAGGCCUGCUGCCAGUGGAGAGGUGUCGAGUGCAGCAACAACACGUGCCAUGUCAUCAAGGUUGACCUCUGCAACAAAUUCUUCCUAGAUGACCUCUUUGCUCCAUUUUAGUCUCCUAGUUUUCGCGGGAUGAACGGGAAGAUAAGUCACGGCUUGCUUACUCUGCGUCAUCUGAAGUACCUUGAUCUCAGUGGGAACCAUCUCGGGGGAGUAGGUAUACCCAUACCGAGUUUCCUGGGCUCCUUCCGGAGACUGAUAUAUCUCAACCUCUCUUGCAUGGAUUUUGAUGGUAUGGUGCCUCCUCAACUAGGAAAUCUUUCGAAACUGCAAUAUCUUGACCUUGAUAACACUUACUAUGAUUAUAGUGGUUAUGAUAAUGUUUUACAAAGUGAGGAUUUGUCAUGGUUACCACGUCUCCCUUUUCUAAGGUUUCUUGACAUGAGUGGUGUCAAUCUUAGUACCAUUGGCCAUUGGGUUCAAGUGGUUAUUAGCAUGCUUUCUAAUUUAAGGGCUCUCCAUCUUCGUCGGUGCAAACUUGUUUUUACAUACACACCUCUUGUGCAUCGGAACCUCACAUCACUUAAGAUGGUUGAUCUAACAAGUAACAUGAUUGCCAACUUGAAUCCCGCCUACUGGUUUUGGGAUGCUGACACCAUCAGGCACCUUGACCUAUCAUACAAUUGGGUUGUGGGUCCACUUCCAGACGCAGUAGGGAAUAUGACUUCCCUUCAAGUACUUCAUCUUGGAGGCAAUCAACUUAGUGAUAUGAAGGCAAAAACACUGAAAAAUCUAUGCAAUAUGAGAGAGUUCAUUGAGUUCAAAUAGAAUCAACCAAGAUAUUUCAGAAUUUUUGCGGGGGUUGCCUUCAUGUGCAUGGACUAAGUUGGAGUUGUUAGAUCUAACAUCAACAAAUAUCAGCGGGGGAAUUCCGAACUGGAUAAACCAAUGGACUAAUCUGAGCAUUAUUCAACUCUCCGCUAAUAGGCUUGUUGGAUCAGUACCUCUUGAAAUUGGUAUGCUCAGCAAGCUCAGUCAUCUGCAUCUAGAUUACAACCAGUUCAACGGCUCUAUUCUAGAGGAACAUCUAGCCGGUCUAGUGAAUUUGAAGGAAUUGGACUUGUCUUACAACUCACUGCACAUGACGAUCAGGCCAAAUUGAACUAGUCCGUUUAAAUUGAAACUAGCUUAUUUCCCAGGUUGUAAAAUGGGGCAUCAAUUUCCUUUGUGGAUUCAAGGGCAGAGGGAUGUUAGUUUUCUUGACAUUUCUGAUGCGGGCAUAGUUGAUUAUCUCCCAGAAUGGUUUUGGAGUGUUUUUUCAAAUGUUGAAUACCUUAACAUCUCUUGCAACCAAAUUAGUGGAAGGUUACCAAGGUCACUAGAUUUAUGUCGUCAGCUGAGAUAUUUGACCCCAAUUCAAACAACCUCACAGGUACCCUACCACAGUUACCUAAGCAUUUGGUAGAACUUGACAUCUCCAAAAACUCUUUAUCAGGGCCAUUACCACGAAAAAUUAUCGCCCAAAACCUUACAGACUUAUUGCUUUCUGACAACUGUAUCAGUGGUGCUAUUCCAAGUUACAUUUGUCAAUUGCCAUUCUUGUCAGUUUUGGAUCUUGCAAAGAAUCAUCUCGAAUGACAGCUUCCCUUGUGUUCGAAACAAUCAUUCAUUUCAGCUCUGAUCUUGUACGAUAACCUUCUGUCAGGCAAAUUUCCUUCAGUUUUGCAGAGCUGCCCUGAUUUGAUCCUACUUGAUCUUGCGGACAACAAAUAUAUUGGAGAGUUACCAACAUGGAUAGCAAUUACCAAAACUGUCUUAUCUCCAGUUGCGGAAUAUUGGGGGCGCUUGGUUCCCCGCCAAGCUUCGCCACCGCCUAACUUACGGCACGCCACCAGAUAUUGGCUGCUGCUUGGUUCAGACCAUAACUGCGGCAGCCACCAGUCUCUGCAGCACAAAACCACGCCGCAGUGUGGCGCCGAUUUUUGGCGCCGGGCGUGGCAGGCUGUGGCUGCAAGCCAAACAGCCCCAUUAAUAUGUUCUCAGGAUCUAUUCCAGUUAAGCUCAUGGAGCUUGGGUACCUAGAAUUCUUGGACCUUGCAUAUAACAGAAUAUCAGGCUCCAUACCUCAUUCGUUGGCCAACUUGAAAGCAAUGACCCAGGAUCAGGGUCACCAACAAACAUUUAAAAACCCUUUAUACUGGGGAUAUGGAAGGCCAGCUCCCCUGAAACAAUUCAUUUCCCAAAUAUGAUGACAGCCUGGAAGUGUUAUUGAAAGGCCAAUAUCUUAAUUACACUGGAAGCAUCAUAUACAUGGUUGCCCUUGAUCUCUCCACAACAAUUUAGUAGGGAAGAUCCCAGAUGAAAUAACAUAUCUUGUUGGGCUGAUGGGCUUGAACAUUUCCCAUAAUCAGUUGUCUGGUGAGAUUCCAGUGAAGCUUGGCCAACUACAAUCAAUGGAAUCUCUUGAUCUGUCAUGGAAUGAACUCUCUGACGAAAUUCCUUCCAGUCUCUCAGGCAUGACAAUGUUAAGCAAGCUGAACCUGUCGUACAAUAAUCUCUCAGGAAGAAUACCCUCAGGGAAUCAGCUGCAAACACUAACCGAUCCAGCCUCUUCGUACAUUGGCAACAACUAUCUAUGCGGGCCUCCUGUUUCCAGGAACUGCUCAGCGCCCGAGGUGGCUGGAGGUCAUCAUGAUGGGCAUCAAUCAGAUUCAGAUGUGAGGUAUUUCUAUGUUGGGAUGGCUGUAGGAUUUGUUUUGGGACUUUGGGUGGUCUUUGUUACAUUCUUGUUUGCUAGGACGUGGAGAGCUGCUUAUUUUCAGAUGUUUGACAACCUACUGUGCGGACUAGAAAUUUCUGUGGCCGCAAGUUUUAGAAGGUGCCUAGGAAAACUGUAUUGAAAAUAAGGAUAAGAAUUACUACCUAUGUCUAAUUGCAUCAAUUUUGUAUGUACAUGAUGAAAAUUGGCAAUGAAGUUAAUUUUUAGUUCCACACUAUAUACUGCUUUAUAAAACAAAUGUAAGAUCUUCAAAAUUGCUGUCUUACUGUAGAGCAUGAAGGUAAGCAUUCCAUCAAGCAUGUGGUGGGCGUGCGGGGAGCGGUCAAGAAGACAUGAUUGAAUCAAGGAAGGAAAACAAAAUUGAACAAUCUAUCCCGUAUAAAGUUUGCACCUUGUCUGUUUGCUUACGCUGUUGCGGCAUCACCAGCUCAUCGCCACACCCUCCUGCUGCCUGGAUCACCCCGUCGGCGCUGUGUGUCUUGCCGCUUGCCCUACUCCGCAUCUUGCCGCCGGGAGUGAUGUUCAGCCGCAGGGAGCCGCAUGUUUGGAAUUUGGGCACCGGAUUGGGCCUCACGUACACUGAGCUCGGUUGGGAGCAAUAUUUGACAAACGAGUGGUUCAGCCCAAGACAUAAGUAUCUCACUAUGCGUAUUGUAUCUAUUUUCCGCAAGAAAUUUUCUUAUACAUCUUGGAGCGUUUGAGAUUUGUGCAAAUGUAAUAGACGCUUUGGACGGUGCAUGCGGACAUCCGCAAUUGAAGCGGGAGCGGCGCAACAGGCAUGCAUGUGGGGCCUUGCUCCAAGGUCCCGCUGAUUACCUAUUUCUUGGAUCAGCAGACUAAAAGGGCCUGUUUGGGAGCACUUCACUUCACCAAAAAUCACUUCACUCCACCAACUCUAAAAAAAUCGCAUCCAAACGUGUUUUGCUCCAGCAAUUCCGGCUCCAGGAAAAACGUGGAGCGGGGGUAGAUCCACGUUUUUGGUGGAGUACCUCAAGGGGUGCUCCAAAAACCUUGAAUACAGACCUCGUCGUGGAGUUCGUAGUUAUUUACCCACCAUGCCAUCCGUUACACAGUACCCCUUCGAUUCCGGUCAAAAGAAAAAAGAACACCAGACCCAUCCGCUACUCAUUUGCCUGCGCCCGACCUUGCGCCUCCGUCGAUCCGCCGAUCGUCACCGGCGCUCUUCCGGCGAGAUGGACGGGGACAGAGGCGCCGGUCUGGGCGGCGCGACGAGGGAGCCCCCCGCCGACCUGGGCAGCGCGCCGAGGGCGGCCCCUGCCGGCCUGGCCGCCGCGCCGAGGGGCGGCCCGGCCGUUGUGGGCGGCGUGACCGGCGCGAUGAGGGAGGCACCCGCCAUUCGGGGCAGCGCGGCGACGGGCGUCCCCGCCGUUCUGGGCCGCGCGGCGAGGGGCGACCUCGUGCAGGCGGUAGGUCGUGUCCAAGAGGUUACUCCUUCUCCUACUAUUUUGUUAGCAAACAAAAGAAUUCCACCAGCAAAGAAACAAAGAACUGGAACAGCACAAGUUAUUCAGGAACAAGUAACCAAGAUUGCUGAGUCCGCUUCCUCUUUUACAUCUAAAAAAUUGGGUGAAGUAACUGUGCAACAAGUCAUGGACCUUGUGUUGGAAUGUGGGGCAGGAUAUGAUACAGAUGAGCAUUAUAUCGCCACGGAGUUGUUUGUGAAGGAGGACCAACGGGAAAUGUUCAUGACCCUGCCAACAAACGAGAUUAGAUUUAAUUGGCUUCGCAGAAAGUACAAUGCCAAGUAUGGCAAUUGAGGAAUUGUGUCGUUUGAAUAAUUCUUUUUUUGUUCGUAUGAACCAUUGUUAUUGAAACUGAAGUGUUAUUUCAAUUUUUACUUACUUGUUGGACUGAAGUAUUGUCAUUCAACCUUAAGUGUUAUUUUAAUGCCAAGUACUUAUUUUAUUUUCUAUGUCAUAUGAUCUCUUAUCUGUAGGAAAGUGAGAGCGAUAGUGAUGACUCUAAUGAUGAAAGCGAGGUCUUUUGGAAUCUUAUGUUGGGUGCUGCAGAAAUUGCACAAAUAUAUGCUGACCUCUACCUUGUUAAAAACCCACCAAGGACAUCUGGUGUAAGUGGAACAAGAUGGCUGCUAGAGACAAUGAAAAGUCCUGGAGAAUGUCAUAGACAACUACGUAUGAACAAUGAAAUCUUCUUGGAUCUUCAUGGUGUGUUGGUGGGAAAGUAUGGGCUGCGACCUUCUAUGCACAUUAGCACAAAAGAGAUGCUUGCUAUGUUCCUAUACAUAUGUGCUGGAAACGAGUCUAAUAGGAGAGCUCACAAUAGAUUUAAGCAUUCUGGCGAAACUAGUAGUAGGAAAUUUGAUGAGGUGCUAAAUGCUUUGAUGGCUAUGGCGAAAGAUUUCAUUCGACCAAAAAAACUUCCCCACUGUCCAUAAAAGGAUAAGAGAUGAUAAACGUGCAUAUCCACAUUUCAAAGAUUGCAUUGGUGCACUUGAUGGCACUCAUGUCCGUGUUGCUCUUUCACCUGAUGAGCAAGUGAGAUAUAUUGGAAAGACCGGGGUAGCCACUCAAAAUGUACUAGCAGUAUGCGACUUUGACAUACGUUUCACUUAUGUUUCCACGGGACAACCUGGAGCUAUGCAUGAUACAAGUGUGUUGUACAAUGCACUCAGAGUGGAUGAAGAAUUUUUUCCACAUACAUGUGUUCAAUUUGAUAUAUGAAUGUGAUUAACAUGUAGCAUUAAUCCAUAACUCAUAUUAUUUUUAUGUGAAUAUAGGCAAAUACUAUGUUGUGGAUGCGGAAUAUCCUAAUCGUCCUGGCUACCUCGCUCCUUACAAGGGUGAAAGGUAUCAUUUACCGGAAUGGCAAAGAGGUAUUGAACCUAAGACGCCUAUGGAAAGGUUCAAUCGGGUUCACUCAUCUAUCCACAAUGUGAUUGAGCGAUCUUUUGGACUAUUAAAAAUGAAGUGGCAAAUUCUUUGGAAGAUGCCACCAUAUCCCAUGUACAAGCAAAAGAUGAUUGUUGUGGCUACCAUGAUCCUUCACAAUUUCAUUCGUGAGCAUGGAGGUCAAGAUAAAGACUUUGCUCGGUUUGAUCGUGAUCCUAAUUUUGUUCCUACAAUACCGGAAAGAUAUAACAAAUAUGCAGUUUCGCAAGCGGCAUCAGAUGGGUCAACUUCCGCACUCAACACGCCAACUAUGGAUGUCUUUCGUGAUGAGCUAGCCACCGCACUCUCUCUUGCUUGGAACUAGUUUGUAAUGAAAAGAUUGAUUUUGUACCGUAUUUGUUGCGACCUUUCAUUCGGUACAACGUUAUUUGGUUCAAUAUUUUUUGCCAUGGGAAAAAACACUGGAGAAAGUACUAUACUGAUGUAUUGUAGCGCUAUUUUACUGUAGCAGCGGAAAAAAAAUCUCAAAAACUCCCAGGAACGGUACUUACGGCUUGGUUUUACUCUAGCAGCGAAAAAAAUGUAAAACAUGCUAAAAACUCAACCGAUCCAACCACCAAGGGAAAAAUAGAAUAUUCCCACCAAAAACUCAUAUUCCUGAAGCUGGAGCAGAACAAUAUGCCAAACACGUUCAACAACUCCAUAUUUUCCUGGAGUUGGUGGAGUGGAGCUGCAAAAGUGUGGAGCUGGUGGAGUGGAGCUGAUUUCUAAAAGGUGGAGUGCUGCCAAACACCCCCUAGCACAACCAUAAUAAAAGGUGCAUUGAGAGCUUUAAGCAGCGGAGUGUGGCAUAGCUGCUCAUUCCACCGACAAAAGAGGACGCAGCACUGGGAGCUCUAAACCUGUAUAAAUAAAAUUAAGGCUGAGUACACUUAUGGUUGGUACUCAGUAAAUUCUAGCAUUGAAAUUAUAUUGUAUGCAGGGAUGAUUAAGGAAAGGGUUUGGUUUAAACUAAAAAACUUAUUUUAAUGCAGGAUGAGGUAAGUUUUGGAAGAAGGAAGACGAAGUAAGCAUAUUUUAGGUUGUUGGCCCUGGAUUGGGAAUCUUACUUCCCCUACCAAUUCCUAAGUUUUAAAGAGCAUCGGAGGCCGUUAGAGUCCUUCUAGGCCGGUUUACGUCUUAUUCCAAGAUUGCUCUCUUAGGCCUCGGUCCCGUCUCACUAGCACACCAUCUAUAAACACAUGAUUACUGAUCAACGGAAACUUUAACUAUGUGGGCUCGUGACCGUGAGCGUCGGCUAUCUGGAUAGAUUAUAACUCUGCAGAGUUUGUACACUUUACCUAUAUGUUGGUCUAAGGCGGUACAGACCUACGAGAUCCAUACCCACCCAUGUCUAUCUCUAGGCAGCAUUCCCUAGAUCCAUCCACGGAUAUACUGGGAUCUAAACAGGGGCCACUAUCAUCCACUACACGGAUAUCAUUCCAGAAAAGUGCGCACAAAAUAAACAGGGCCUCUGCCCUCAAGGUCUCGGAUCCUCUCAGUCAACCCAUGCUGACAAGAUCUGGUACUAUGCGAAGGUCCUGCUCUAGCAUAUCCGUUGCCCACCGUGACCCCUUGGGAUAGAUUUCUAGGUGUUGACACCAGUUUUUGAUCAGAGUCAACCGCUACGAAUACGGUUCUGAGAGCUGAUGAAGGAGAGAGAAAAGGCCUGUUGAUGAUGUCACAUUGACCAAGACCAGUUGUAGCUGACCAGGAUUCUAGAAGCCGACGGCUAGGAGGAAUCCGAUCUGAAGCAAAUUCGACUACAACAAAUAAGGGAAAGUGUGGAGAUUUAUCUUUAGUAGUUUUUAGAUUAGUUGUAAUAGUCAUGUCGUAGUGAUUGGGAGUUCUAGCUUGCUCCAGGGUAUAAAUAUAAACCCGUGAGCCUUGUAAUGAAUAAUCAUCAAUCAAUCAAUACAACCUUUCGGCACCACGCUGCCAAAACGCUGGGAGUAGGAGUAGAGUAGAUUCGAUGAGUUCCUUCUUGUGCGCACGGCUGCAUUGGCUUCGAUCUCAGGCGAGGUUGUAAGUACCGUCAACCGGUCAUUACGGCCUCUAUCAGAACUUUCUAAGUUAAGUCUUAUAUUCGGAUAUUCGGUUGUGUGGCUAGCUAUCGAGUUAUUUUAGAUUCCAAGUAGAACUUUCUAGGCUUUGUCCAAUAUUCUGCUUGUCUUCGAUGUUGCUCACAGUUAUCGAGCCGUUUGGUUUUAUUAACUUGCAUCGUAUCGAUCUCUUAGUUUUAUAAAGCGCUCUUAGUUAUUGAAUGGCUUAGAUCUGGUUAAGUUGUCUUCAUCGCUCUUGUCUUCGAUGUUGCUCACAGUUAUCGAGUUGUUUGGUUUUAUUAACUUACAUCGUAUCGAUCUCUUAAUUUUAUCAAGCGCUCUCAGUUAUCGAACGGCUUAAAUUUGGUUAAGUUGUCUUCAUCGCUCCUUGACCUUGUUUAAGUGUUCGCCAGUUAUCUGAUUGUAUCGGCUGGUUAGAUCUUCCAAGCUUUUAUUGCUUCAUAUAUGCUAGGUUCGAUAGAUCUUUACCCCUACCCCUCUGUAGUGUCGGCCUCCAUGGCUCUCACCCCCAACGUUAGUAGUACCGCAACCUCUUAUAGAAUAUACCAUUCUUUCUGGCCCGUACGGUUCUGCUAAGUGGUGCAUGGACCUAAGCUGAACCUCUGAUAAAAAUUCAUCCACAACCUUCCCAGUCCUAUGACCUUCAUCCAACAUUGCACGUGCCUUUUGCCAUCGGUCCACAAAGUAGGUGUUGAAUUUUUCGAAGGAGUAUUCAAUAAUUCCAGAAACGGGCCUACUUGGGAUGCCUUUGAAAAUAGUAUUUAGUGAUUCCGAGUAGUUCAUGGUCAUAAUACCCCAAUGCAUCCCUCCCUCAUCGAAAGUGUGCGCCCAUUUAUUCUUAUCCUCCAUUUCACCCUUCAAUCAUUCUUUUACGUCAUCGUUCAAGUCCUUCACUAGAUCUUCUAACUUCCACUAAAUUUUGUCUCUGUAUGCACCUUGCAUAAAGUCUUCAAUUUUCCAAUCACGCGGUCAUUCUUCUGCCGACGCGACAUGUUGGCAGCAAAGUGCCUCGUGCACCACCUAUGCACAAGCAGUGGAAAACCAUCCAUGUGGUUGUUCGCACAAUUUAGGAACCCAUGGUGCCUAUUUGAGAUCAUACAUACUUGGCGUUAAGAUCCAAGUACAUGUCGCCGAACCAGUUUUAUAAACCAUGACCAACUCUUAUUGUUCUCACUCUCCGUCAAUGUAAAAGCAAGAGGCACAAGCUACUGUUCUGGAUCUAUACCAACUGCCAUCAGUAGUGUACCCUUAUACUUUCCGGUUAAGAAUGUACCGUCCACAAGUAUCACAGGACGACAAUGUUGAAAUGCCUCACUACACUGUGGGAAGCACCAAAAUAUCCUUUGGAGCAUGUGCUUCAAAACUCCAUUGUCAGGAUGCAUCAUGCUACAUGAGUCAAUGAACCAUUUAACCCCAGGAUUGUAGUAGGCUAUAGCUGUGAGUACCCUAGGAAUCAUGCCAUACGACUCCUUCCAGUCCCCCCAAAGUAGGGCAACGGCGUGUUGCUUCUCCCGCCAAACCUUUGAAUACUUGACACAGUAUCCACUAAAGGCGAAGAUGGACUCCACGAGGGAUGGCACCGAUGUCUUGCUGUCUUUACGGAUAAUGCCUAGGAUACGCCGUCCAAGGUACUUUGCUGUGCACUGCGUGCACUCGCUUCGGCUAUGAAGAAUGACAAGUAUGCGGUUGCACAACAUUUGAAAUCCUCCAUUGUCCGGUGCUUGAUAUUAGCCGAGACCAUACACGCCAAUGGCAUCCUUGCUUGCACAUCACAUUGUACCUUAAGUUCUUGUCGGAGUGACCUGCGCUGAAAGGUCUAUGUAACCUCACUACGUAGUCAGUCAAGAAAAACUUCAGGUCCUCAAGACUUUUGAACUUCAUUCCCUUCUUAAUCACUGGACUCUCACUAAAGGGUAUCCCUUUGGAAUUAACCAUACUAGAUUCACAUAUGGCUUUGUGGACCAUACUUAUGUCCUUAUCAUUGGGAACGGAUGGCAGUUCGACAUCACAUUCUUUCAACAACCGCAACUCGUUCUGGGUAUAAGAAAAACAUUCAUCCAUAUGACCAAUGUCUUCUACAUCAUGCACGGUUGCGGUGUCGAACUGCGGUCCAUCCUCUUCAUAUUGUAACUCCUCGUCCUCAUUUUCAUGCCCACUACUUUGAGAUGGUGACUCCUCCUUUGCCUCGACACCUACUACCCCAUUUUCCUCGAAUUCACUAUCUUCGGAACCCAUAGAUAUAUUAUCAUCAUCUAUAUUUGUUUCAUCCCUCUCAAAAGUGUCAUUGGAAAAAUCAUCAUUGGCAAUGGCUAAGUCAAAAGCAGGUUCUAUUUCACCUAACACGUGUUGCAAAAUUUCUAACUCCUAGGUACCAUUACGAUUCACUACCGCCACUUCAUCCCUCAAGACAAUAUUUGGACCAGGAAUACAAACAAUUUCAACUACAACCUCCAAGCAUGCAACAUUUGCUUCAUGAACUACAUCCUUAUAGUGCUUCCAAUUUAAAUUGGAUGCCAAGUUCAUGAGAACAUAAUGAGUUCUAGCUUUCCCACAAUCAAAAUGGCCUCUCAAUGUCAUCUCAUCCACUCUACAUCCAUACUUCCUCAUUGCACGGUCAACUAAAUCAGUAAAACUUCGAGGACCAUCGAAGAAUUCAACUGCCUCAUUCAUAUUCUCUAACUCCGUAUUUUGUUUCACAAUACCACCAUAAAAAAAACGAACUAAACGAUCCAUCUACAAAAUACAAACAUUUCACCAUGUCAUGUACACUACACAUCGCACAUAUUGGACAUAUCAAUUGGACACAUUCCACAUAUUGGACACAUUGAAAAAAAAUACACAUGUCAUGUACACUACACAAUUGGAUGAAUAUAUACCUAAAUUGAAGCAUUCAACAAGUUCUACACGUCAAUAUCGCGGGCACAGACUCUAUUGCGUUUGAACUACGCAUCAUCUAACACAUAACAACAAUUGGAUGAAUAUAUACCUAAAUCGAAGCAUUCAACAAGUUCUACACGUCAAUAUCGUGGGCGGGAGACUCUAUUGCGUUUGAACUAUGCAUCAUCUAACACAUAACAAUAUUGCAUUUCAUCCAAAAUUGAAAUCAUCAACCUAACCCUAGGUCACCUAAACAUCCUCCAAUCUACCAAAUGCAACGGUAAAACACGGGAAAAAGUAGGGGGAUACCUUCCACACGACGUAGGGAUAAAUUUCCACAACUUUCCCUAAGCCAAAUUGCUGGAGAUUUGGGGGAUUUGGGGGUGGGGCGGCGGCCGGAAGUGUGGAGGAGCUCGGGUGCGGGAUGUUCUGGAGGAGGAGGAAUAGAGGAGGGAGGAAGGAGGGACCGGCGCGCGUGUGUAGGAGAGGAGCUGCCGCGCCAGGCGGGCUGGCGCGACAAGCGUCCGCCCACGUCAGCGCCUAGCUAGCCCGGCGCUGACCCGCCUGCCGCGCCGCGCCAGUGUGGCGGCAUUUGCCGCACCAGUGCAUGUGGCGCGGUACAGGCUUCCUACCGCGCCUAGCGGGCUGGCGCGGGCAAAAGGAUCACCCAAUGCAAAUAAUCUUCCAGACAAAUUUAAAAAUAGGUUAAAAAUGAAAAAAUUCGCUCCCUGAAAUGCAGUUCUAGGCAUGGGUUUAGCUAUUAUCACUUAACCAUUUAACAUCUCUCAGUAUUGGCGUAAGAGUUCUGAAAUCAUUCUGUUUCUUAGGCUAGUCUCUUCUGUAGCAUACUACUGCUCAAGACAGAAUGGAUUUUUCUUCUUCUAUUUAUUGCUAAAUAUCUGUGUAAUCCUGGCAUAUUAAUGGUCAUGCUUUGCUUUAUCAAAAUUGAGAUUAUUAUGUGUUACAUAGUAGCUAGAUGGCAGUAGGCAUCUACAUCAUUUCUGAAUGAUAUAUUUGCUUGUGUAAUUCCUUAACCAACUUUCUGUCCCCUACAAUGACUGCAAUUAUCUUAGAAGCAUAAUACGUAAGAACUUGGAAACAAUAUAAUGAACAAACGACUCAUUUUGUUGAUAUACAAUUUUACGCAUGGUGAUAUAUACUUGUAAUUCUUGAAGGAUCCUACUUAUACUUUGAUUGAAGUUCUUUGGAAGCUGAAAUGUUCUGUGGUGUUAGACAGAGGACUAGUUAUUUGAUGGCUACUCAAUUGUGGUUUUGGUAAGAGCUCUAAUACAAUUUCGAACUCAUAAUAUGGAUCAUCUGAUGCUAAGAAUCUACUACUGUUGAAGAAGAGUAGUACCAUCUUUCAUCUGCAAUUGCAAUACUGCUUUGAUAGAGGGGAGUGGCAGUGAUGUUAUGGCCACAAUUUGAGUUUUAGGACAGGAAGCAGAGGCUGAUGAUAAUGAUUUGCUAUGAAGAAGCAUAGCCUGUCUUAAGGAUUUUUUUAUCGGAGGCCUUGGAUGUAGUACAAUGGAUUCUCGUUUAUUACCAGAAUAACUUUAUGGGAUUUGUAUAAAUUGAUGUGCGAAGAGGGGGAACCUAUUAUACUUUCAUGGUGGUACUGUGCUUGGCAACAAAAGCAAGUGAAUAUUGAAGCAGUAAAAUGUUAGUGUGUCUAGAUGCAUAAUAAUAUUUAUGGACUUAGAAAAAUUAAAACGACCUACAAUUUGGAAUGGAGAGAGCAGUAGCUUAGUACCAUCCAUGUGCAGUAAUCGGUAAACCUUGAUUUGCCUACUGGCAUUUGUUUCAGAUGAGAGAUGAUAUUGAUAUCGAGCUAGAGGAAAACCUUGCAGGAGAGGUUGAUGAGAACCUACUCACCAAGCGCAUAGCAGGGGCCGUCGUCAAAUGCUAGACUGCUGAAUUCUAAUGGCCCAUUGCGUGUUCUGUAGUUCAUUUGACUGCUGGAUAUCAAAGGUGAUAUCGUUUCUUUUUCUAGAUCUGCUGGUGAACGUACUGAUAUACAUCUUGUGCUUGCUCUGCUGACUCUACGUUCAACGCUCACUCUCUCAACAGAAUCACGGAAUAUACUGAAUUAGCGGACGCAGAUGCAUGUCUAGUUGUUGUUAAAUCUUGGUGAAACAGAGCACACAGUAGGUUUAUAAUCCACACAAGAGAUGCAUCAACAGGAGACAAAGUAAGAGACCAAAUAGUGGAAUGAAGCUUUUUGGUUGUAAAGACUGGUGUAGAUCACAAACGAAAAUGACAUGGAUUAGUUCCAGCCUUCCAGGGAACCAACUUCAGACGGAAAUGAGCUGUUUCCUCUCAUUGCCUCCACCUUGUUCCUGCUGGCUGCUGCCUCGCCCAUUCAGGUCUCUGAGGCCCAGAUGAUGGCCACAUGAGGGGAGCAGAGCAUCAGUCACAGUCAAUGUAAUGCGAUCCAAAUCUGGGGACAGUCCAACCGAUGUUCAAGGAAAUGGCGGAACGAUUGAAUGGCGGGUGGCGGCAAGACACAAUCCAGAAGGAUGCAAGACAUAAGCCAAAUGCCGCAGCUUUUUGAACAGAGGAAUGCAGGACACAAUCCAGAAGUGAGGCAGAUACCACGUUCAGACAAGAUUGCUUAUUUUUAGCACGUGUCACAUCAAAUAUUUAAGUACUAAUUAGAAGUAUUAAACGUAGACUAUUUACAAAACCCAUUACAUAAGUGGAGGCUAAACGGUGAGACGAAUCUAUUAAGCCUAAUUAAUUCAUCAUUAGCAAAUAUUUACUGUAGCAACACAUUAUCAAAUCAUGGAUUAAUUAGGUUUAAUAGAUUCGUCUCGCCGUUUAGCCUCCACUUAUAUAAUGGAUUUUGUAAAUAGUCUACGUUUAAUAUCCUAAUUAGUAUCUAAACAUUCGAUGUAACGGGUGCUAAAAAUAAGCAGGAGAAACCAAACCAGGCCGUAUACUUCUCACACCCGUCAUGUUAUCACCUUGACUUAUACACAUUUCUAAACAAUUAGGUUGAAGAGGAUGCCUGCAAAGGUCAACAUUGCUGACAUGCACAAAACACAAACAUUCAGUGCCCCAGAAGCAUGCAUAAAAAGCAGCCACUGGUGUCUGAAGAAUGUAUAAAAGGAAACAAUCAUGGACAGAUUAAAGCUUACAAUAAAACACGUUCGCUUAACUCGUGAGUGCCAAAUUUGUUAGAUCCAUGUCCAUGGCUUUCCACAUUUUUUUUAGAAAAUGAAAAAAAUAUACGAACUCUGCAACUAUCUAUUAUUGCUUCUCUAUCCAUUCUUGAUGAAAAUAUCCAAAGCCUCCAAAGCUUUUGUCGCCAAAUGACGAUCUCCCUUGUAUCCUCAUACUACAACGAAUCGCAGCCAAUAUGUUUUCUGAAGGUAUCCUCCAGCCAAUAUGUUUUCUGAAGGUAUCCUCCAAAACGACGCAUAUAGGUAGGAAUCUAACGUCGAAAAAUGCCGCUGAUGUGGUCUAGUAGAACUGAGAUCAAGUUUUCACUCAAAGGUAGCCAACAGUUGUGAGGGAGGAGAGCCCAAAAGGACACCACCAGGAAGGUGUGUGGCGCCGUCAUCACCACCAACACAAAGUUGGGCAUGGCUUUCGCCGGAUGCUCCCCACACCAACCACAGCCACACCUCAUCGUGUCACGCUUUGCACAAAUACCGGAGAUACGAGAACCUCCUAGCUGUAUCCGGCCUUCAGCGAUACACUUGCUUGCUGUUGGCUCACUCCAGCACCCCAUGGUUCCAUAUAAACGCAAAGUGGCACUCAAUAUGUGGUGAGCGCCGGUAUGCAUCCAAUGAAAAGCGACCAUUCGCAGGAUGGUCCGGUGCCACAUGCAGGGGAAAGCAAAAGGCAAAAGGCUUUCCACAUGAAUGUUUGAUUGUCCUUGAGAGGCUCCAGUCAUUCUUAAAAAGCAAAAGGCAAAUCCUCUUUAACUCUCCUCAGGGAAAAAAAAUUAUAAAUGAGAAAUCUAUCAACAGAACCCAGUUUCUUCGGGAAUCAAUAUACUGUGAAAGAUGAGUCCAUUUUUCAUAAAUUUCUGAUCCAAAGUUGAUCUCUUUCCAAUAUGUAAAUGGAUAUAUGUAUCGGCAAAUUUUUGAAUUACAUGAAACUAGUAAACAACGAUUCGAGUCAACUCUAUAGAAUUUCAUGUUUGUUGUAAGCAGCUUAUAUUUUACCACAUGAAAGUAAUACUGCUCUGGAUUUUAAUAGGGCAAAUCUUUUCAAGACUUAACAGUGUAGAUCAUCUGCUGCCAGCUGCAGGCAUAGUAGAUAAAAGCUGGCCCAAUGAAAUAUGCCACAAAAACACAAUUAAAUUCAUGUAAUCAUGUAGAGGAUGCAUCAUUUUAUAUAUACCUAAUAUUCUGAGGACAAUUUCAACACACAGAACCCUAAGUAUAGCUAUUUUUUAAUAAUGUAAGUAUAGUUAUUGGCUUGCACGUUAUUUUUGAAGAGAAGAAAAAGAAUCCUUGUUCUCUUAGGAGCAAGGACCUUACAGGGAGCCACAAAAGAGACAAUAACAGAACAGCUAAAGAUGACGCCACAGUGAACACAAGAAAUGGAACCAUGUUCAGAAGUUAUUAUACCACUAUUGAGAAGUGCUAACUAAAGGUAAACAAACAAACAGUGCAAAUGAUAGAGUUAUGAGAUUGACUAGAGACUAGAACUUAAUCAGACCCUUCAGCACGAUGCAGCUUCAAAGAACAUGGUCUCAUGACAUCUGGCAUGCUGAUUUAAUAGUCAAAAGAAAAUAUGAAGUUAAUUUUACUAGCUUCUUCUCUUCCUCCUCACAUAAUUGACGGCCUGUUAUGCACUUCAUGUACCAUCUUCUAGUGCAAGCCUCCCAUAGUUACGAACUAAACAAGGAGGCCAUGCCAUAACAUAAGGGUGUCCACCACUAUUAUAUGGCCUCUGAAACAGAUUCUCCAGUUUCAUUGUUUCCAGGCAGAGGGACAAAAACCAACUUGGGUUCUGGGGAUCAUAGACAUUCUUUGAAGUUGCCAAGUAUGCAAAGCCAUCCCUGACUGCCACGACAAGCAGCUCAUUAUAGUUGCCCUUCAGUUUCCUUAGAACUCCAUCAAGCUGUGUAUCUAAUGGGGUGGCCCUGUACAGCAUCCACUUCUCAACGCCAUCACUAUCCGUUCUUCGCAACAUCACACCAAUUGUGAAGUCAACAGCAUAGACAAUACAACGCUCACCACUGUUUGUUUCACCAACAUCGAAGCUACAGCACCGAUUCUUCAGGAAUUGGGGGAGCUCCUCGACCGAGAACCUCAUUGUCGCCGUGUUCAGGGUGAUGAUAUACUUGUGAUUCUUAUAAACCCAGUACAAGAACCCAUUGGAUUGCAUGUUGCCGUUCAGAAGCCACACUUUUGAACGCCGUGGCCGCCCUGGGACAUCCACCCAUGGGUGAAUUUUCCACUCCCCGGUGUCAGAGGAGAAGACAGUAGCCCGCACCCUGGACUCGUCGUGGGUAAGAGCCACCACUCGGAACGACGUGGGGUCUUCGUCGGAGCAGAGCAAGCAGGCGCUGCGCUCAACGGGGGUUCCACGGCAACCUUCAGAGGCGUCCUUGGGACUGUCAUCAAAGAACCGUUGGCUCUGUCGUGCCAAUGGAUUCACAACCGCCAUUGCCUGCGCACUGAACUGGUCACCGUUACAGAGGAGGACGUACCCGCCGCGGCAGUCGAGGAUAUCCCAGGAGUGGGCCUUGUCAGGGUGCUCCUGGAUGGAUGUCAGGAAGAAGUCGCCACCGCGGAGGGCGGCGCCCAGGUCCCGGUCGCGGCGGCGGGCGGGGACGAAGGAGGGGAACGCCGGGAGCAGUGGGUCUUGGACGGCGGUGGGGGGGCCGAAGAAGAGACCGAGGAGGGGCGCUGGGUGGAGCUCGCGGAAUCGGCGGCGGAAGGCCGGGGAGGAGGCCACCGCGCGGCACCACGGCCGGCAAGCGAGGGCGGCGCGGACGAGCGUCGCGAGGGAGGGGAGGCGGAGGAAGAUCCGGAGCAGGAGGUCGUCGGUGAGGGAGUGGAUGGUGGUGCUGCUGGUGGUAGUGGGGCUUGAUUUCUUCCGGCGCUUCGCCGGCGGCAGCUGGGCUGGAGACCUCUCGCCAGCCAUAGCGACGGCGCGGCGGAGAUGCGGAAUGGCUAGCACAAACCUCCGUUGGCGAUUGUUGGAGAUUUUACCCCUUUGGCCUUUCUUUUUGAGUAAAUCGCAUCCGUAGUACAAGAACUAUGCAGUGCGUGCAAAUUGAUCCAGGAACAUGUAAUCUGAUUAAUCCGAUGUAAAACUUUGAUGCAUAUACGGUCCAAAUCCCACCACGACGUGUAUUUGUUCACGGUUGACCGUGAGGUGGCAGGCUAGGUCGUGGCUGGCUCAUCGGAAACAUGGGUUUUGUUUAGCUGGCUAAUUUGGAAGAUGUAAAAUUAUUAUGGUACACUGUAGCGUUUCGUUUGUAUUUGUGAAUUAUUGUCCAAAUAUUAACUAAUUAUGCUCAAAAGAUUCGUCUCGCAAAGUACAACAAAACUGUGCAAUUAGUUUUUAAUUUCGUCUACAUUUAGUACUCCAUACAUGUACGGCAAGUUUGAUGUGAUGGGAAUCUUCUUUUUGCAUAGUAUCAAAGUUGGGAGUUGAGGGGUACCUAAACAUGACCAUGGUUUGACAUAUCUUACAUCAUUCAAGGAAACGGUAAACAUGAAACACUGCAUAAUUGAUUGCAUAUUAUGACAAAUGAUCACAUUCGUACUGAAAAAGCCCUCAACAUCAUCAUUAGAACUCAACAUUUAGUUUGGAGAACCAGACAAGUUCAAAAUAAAUGUUGAGUUCCAUGGUGGAAGCGCAACAAAACACACAUCGGAGUCGUAGAGCAGAAUAUUAGGGCCAAGAUCAGAAGGAAACUAACUCUAUUCAGGAGGAUCGCGUGUUGGGUCGUCGACCAUGAGGUCCGAUUACUUAGGGCGCGUUUGGUUCGUUUCCGUCGCUAGCCUGGCUUGCAUCUGGUAUGCAAGCUGAGCUGGGCCAGGCUGAUUGCAUCCAGGUGAUCAAUGUUUGGUUACAGGACGAAAGUAGACAGGCUGAGCAGAGCACAUGUUUGGUUGCAUGUAUGAGCAGAGAACUGGCGAAUAGAGAAGAGAAAUCAGUUGUUUGGUUGGCUGCAUGUCACACCCGGUUUUAAAGGUAAAACCGAAUGCUACCUAUAUGUAUGCCAGGAUCAAGUUUCAUACAUAUAGUGACAUCAUAAGUGAAUAACAGCAACAGUAUCACGUAAAAAGAUACAAAUAAAGACUUACAAACCAUCAGAGAUAUACAGCUUAAUAUGGAAACGGAGGCUCCAAACUUCACAGGCAAACGACUGGGGGUUGCGUACGCCUAGAACUCAGCAUCAUCUUCGGAACAACUUCAUAGAAACUUCUUCUUCUGAGCAAUGUUGUUUAUAGCAAGAGUGAGCACUUGUCGUACUCAGCAAGUGUGAGAAGAAUAUGAAUGCAAGGGUUAAACAAGGAAAGGCUGACUGGUUGACUGCAUUAAGCAUUUUUAGUUGGUCAAAUUUUAUUAGCACCUGAUUACUAAGGUAUAAGUAUAUACCAACCCACAAUUAAUAGAAACAUAAACAUAAGCCAUAAGCAUAUGGCACAACCAUAACCAUACCAUAAAACACGAUUUAAGUCCAUCUUCAAGUAUAUUAAUCAUGUGAGGGUCCAGGCCGCUCUUAACUGUGAGCACGGCUGAUCGAUCAGUUUUACACUCUGCAGAGGGCGUACAUCUUUACCCACAAGUCGCGUAAAAGUUCAAAAGAACUUUAGACCCAACCACGCUUGUGCUGAUCAGGCACAAUACCACACUUCCGAGGUGUGAUUGCAUAGGGACGCUACGAGGCCUUUACAAAGAUUCAUUAGUCAGUGGUAACCCGCUAAGGUUUCGGUGUCUGGCGUGCACCACCCAUCCCAGGUAAAAUGCAACGACUCAGUCCCCCCUCUUGCCUCAUCACGAGUAAGGUCACCCCAGACUAAGGUUUCUAAUUAAUCAGCCAAGACCAGAGCCAUUUAGUCUUGUGGUAGCACUGUUUUCCUGGGUGGUUCUCCAUGUUCCAAUUAACCACAGUGAUCUUGUAUUAAAGGAAGGUGUAGCAUAAAUAAAAUAGGUUCAUCAUCUUUGUUCAUUAGAACCACCAUAACCCAAGUAUAGCAGCUAAGCAUAGCUACCCAACAGAAAAGUAAACCCAGGUUGGCAAGGAAUAAUCAUAAAAACUAGGCAAACCUUAAUAGGACCCAUCAAAUUUAAUGCAAGCAUAUGCAAUAGUGAUUAAACAAAGUUAUUAGGACAAAAGCACAAGGACACACUUGCCUUUCUUCAGCGACAAGUUCCUUCUUACUGCUCUUCGGCUCUUGCUCUCUUGAAACUCUUAAUCUUCAAAGCUUUCGAACAGCGAUCCUUCUACUCGAAGCAAUCACCGGUACAAACAUACAAGCGAACAACAAGUACAACUAAGAACAAUACACCAAAUCAAAAGGAAAGCUUUAAAAGAGCGUACUAACGACAAGGCUCGAUCUAAGGUCACGCGAACGUAAGGAACGCUUAAAACGGAACUAUGGUUGAAAAGAUAAAGCUAUCGAGAGUUUUGAAUUAUAAAAGAAAGAUAAGAGCUACAAGCUUCAUUUAUUUUAGUUGAGAAAAGCAAUGUAAAGAUAUUUCAGAGAAAUAUCCUUAGUUAGAAUUAAUCAAGUCAUAUUUAUGUUUUCAUAAGAAAAGAUGGUGUAAAGCUUAGUCCAAUUUUAUUUAUAAAUAUUUGAGUACAAUUUAUGCAAAUUAAGCAUUUAAUUUUAAAAAAAAUAAGAUACCUGUAGACAUCUAAGCGUAUAGCUUUACAUCUCGAGUUCAACUAAGUAGAUUAAAUUAAAAACACAUUUAUAUUUAUAUUAGCCAAAUUCAUAUUUAAUUAUGAAAACUCGAGAUAUAACCUAUACAAAUUUUAUUUAGAAAACAAAUUGAAUAAACAUUAAUCAAAUUGAAUUCAAUUUAUGAAACACCGAGGUAGUGGCUUUUAAUUGGAAGAAUUAUUUAGAUAGGCAUUAAUCCAAUUAACUUUAGUUUAUGAAAAACCGAUAUAUAACCUAAUUGGCUUUUAUUUAGAAGAGGGUAUGAAGUAGGCAUUAAUCAAAUUAACAAUUAUUAUGAAAAACGAUGUUUAACACUAAAUAGAUUUUAUUUAGAGAAGAACUCGUUUGACCGGCAUUAAUCAAUUUUAAUAUAAAUUUUAUUUUCAAAAACAUGUGUGAAGGAAAACAUUACCACUAACGUGUAAUUUACAUCAUUAUGAAUCUAACGCAACUUGAGCGGACAAAAACGGAAUUAAAACGUAGAAUCUAUGGGUUAAACAAGGUUGUAGGGGCCUAAACAUAAUUAACCAUAGACCUCAGGGGUUAGCAAGGAAAAUUUGCAAGACACCAGGAAUAGUGCUCGCAAAUAAUAGAAAUAACAGGGUUAGAUCCAAAAGAUUGUGAGGCUCGGUUUAAAUUGAAAGGGACCGGAAAGAUCGAGGGGUUUUCUGUGAAGUUGCCAAGACACAAGAAAUAAGCUGAAAAAUUGAGUUUUCCUCAGGGGCCUAAUAGCAAAAUCACCAACUCAUCUUCAACCUCACGGUUGAACUGCCCGACCGGCUCUCCCAGGCUUGCCGGCGGCGCUGGCCGGCGACGGCGGCCGGGGCCGGGCCAGGCCAGGGGCGCGGGCGGCGGGUGCAAGCACCAGCAGGGGCUCGGCCGGCGGCUCCGGCGGCUGCAGGCGGCGCACGCGAGCUGCAGCGGCGCACCCGAGCAGAAACACGGGCGGUUCUGUUACGGUUGCAAGCCUGUUACGGUUGCAGAAACAAGGAAAAGAGAGAGAAAGAGGGAAUCGCCGGAAACGAAGUCCGAUCUCGCGCAUGAACGGCAAAAUGGAACGAUAUCGACGAGGCGAACAAGAUGGUGUGCUCACCUUCGGCCAGAGAUGAACAAUGGCGGCGGAAAAGCUCGCCGGAGUUGGGGAAGACGACGGAGCCGACAUCGGAUUCAUGCAAUCCACCACACCACGGCGUAGAGCUCGAAGAGAGGAACUCCAUGGUGGUGUCGGUUUUCGCCGGAAGUCCACGGUUUCGCCGGAAAAGCUCGCCGGACUUUGACGAAGACCGAACUUUGACUUCAGAUCUACGGAGUUAGGAGAGGUUACUCAUGAAAAGGUUUGUAGAUCUGAAAUCCUCGCGUCGAGACGAACGCGGUGAUAUAUAUAUAGGCCACACUCGGAAAAAGAUAUUUUCGAGUUGACUUUUUGAUUUUUCGGAUUUUCUAAAUUUAUUUAUCUGCGCGAAAACAAUUUCAGAAAUAGCUGGACUCGUUUUAUAAAGCGAGAAAAAUACCUAGAAAAUUCAGAAAAAUAUGAGAUAAAUCUCAGGGAUGGAUUGGGAUGCAAGGAAUCCAAAUAAAAUACUUGGAGCUCGUGAAAAGGAUUUUAGAACCUUCCAAAAAUUGGAUUUAGCUCUAGGAAAAGGAAAAUAAUUUCCGGAAAAAGAUGGAAAAUUCUCACAAGGGUUUGGGCCACGUCUAAACGUAUUUUCAAACUUUUGCACUCAAGAAACGCCAAGAUGCAGUGACAUGAAUGCACAGACAUAGAACAACAUUAUUUAAUUUAUAAAAGCAAACAAUUAUUUUUCCUAUACUAAAUUUCCUGUAAAAGAAAAUUAAAUGUUGGGAAAAUUUUAAAAUUAUGAGAAAAUUAUUGUUUAUUUAUUCUUUUUAUUCACAUCCUGAAAUUCGGAAAUUUCAGGGUGUGACACUGCAUGUACCAAAGUUUGAAUACCAGGUAGCUGAAAUUGGUGAGGUUACCACCAGUCAAAUGUUAGGCUAGGUACUCAUACAACUCGUUCAUACAAAUAACAGACAAUCAUCGGCUCAAUAUUACAACAAAUGAUCAUACAACCUUGUACAAUAAAACUAGGAUGAUAAUGAACUGAACAAUGAUAAUGAUAUCUUUGGUUGGUGUGCUUGUUUUGUUCAGUUGUUUGUCAGCCUUGAACUCAGGAGGGGCUUGAUCUACAUGUUGGUUGUGAUAGGCAGCCCAAGCUUGUGCUUCAGUGUUGUACCCUUUGAAACAGGCUCCCUUGAAGCCAUUAACUUGUUGAUGGCAAUCCCUCCAGGUGGAGAAGACGCCAGUUUUGCAGCCAUAGAACACAACAUACCAAGUCAUAAUUGAAGUCCUAGAUUAGUUACAAUGUAGCAAUAGAAUGUGAGUUGUAAAAAAAAUAAUCAAUGGACAAUGGAAACAAUUAAUUAGGUGCAAAUGCAUAAAUAAAUAACUUGUUCAUAACAGGCAAUGGAAUUGUGCUCAGAUCAUGCACAACUCAAAAGGAAAACAUAACAGCCAAUGGUCUACUACUCAGAUGAAGCACAAGUGGAAAAGGAUAUGAUGAAGGCAAUGAGCUGUGCUCAGAUAAUGCACAACUGAAAAAGGAAACAUAACAGCCAAUGGAUGCUUAACAUCAUUGCACAGACCCAUUGCCAUAUGAUCAGGAAUAGUAGAAUGUAAACAAUGGAUGCUUAACAUCAUUGCACAAACCAAUUGCCAUAGGAUCAGGAAAAGUAGAAUGUAAUUAAUGCAUGCUUAACAUCAUUGCACAAACCAAUUGCCAUAGGAUCAGGAAAAGUAGAAUGUAAUUAAUGCAUGCUUAACAUCAUUGCACAAACUCAUUGCCAUAAGAUCAGGAAUAGUAGAAUGUAAUUAAUGGAUGCUUAACAUCAUUGCACAAACUCAUUGCCAUAUGAUCAGAAAAAAUAGAAUAUAACUGAUGCAUGUUCAUCAUCAUUGCACAUGUAUUUAACCUCAGGAAAUGUAAAAGAAAUAGUGGAACAAAUCAUCAUUGCACAUGUACUUAGCCUCAGGGAAGGUAAAAGAAAUACUGGAAUAAAUAAUCAUUACACAUGUACUUAGCCUCAGGGAAGGUAAAAGAAAUAGAGGAAUAAAUAAUCAUUACACAUGUACUUAGCCUCAGGGAAGGUAAAAGAAAUAGAGGAAUAAAUAAUCAUUGCACAUGUACUUAGCCUCAGUCUAGAUAAAAGAAGUAGAGGAAGGUAAAAGAAGAAGAGGAAUAAAUGAUCAUAGCACAUGUACUUAGCCUCAGGGAAGGUAAAAGAAGUAGAGGAAGGUAAAAGAAGAAGAGGAAUAAAUGAUCAUAGCACAUGUACUUAGCCUCAGGGAAAGUAAAAGAAGUAGAGGAAUAAAUGAUCAUUGCACAUGUCCAUAGCCUCAGUCUAGUUGUUCAUACAGCAUAUUAUUACAUCAUCAUUGCACAAGUGCAUUGGCUCAGCUAACAGAACAACAGUUGAUCAUUGCACACAAACAGCAAGCUCUACACAUGAGAGGUGCCCCUAUUGUUCCACAUAUCAUUUGCUAUUUCAUUCCUUCUUGUACCCCAAUCUAAAUUGUCAUCUGUCUGACCACCAUCAGCAGGUGCAGUAGUACUACAAUUAGGUUCCCAUGUUGCUUCAUCAGGAAUAACCUCAUACUGACCAUGGCCAAUUAUCCAAUUAUGAAGAAUACAACAUGCAAGAACUAAUUUGACUUGUGUCUUGAAUGGGUGGUAGGGCUUGUUGUCUAGAAUACGAAAUCGAUUCUUUAAAGCCCCAAAUGCCCUCUCAACUGUGACCCUUAGGCUUGAAUGCCUCAAGUUGAACAACUCUUUCUUAUUGGUAGGAUAAUUUCUUCCACCAUAUUCUUUCAAGUGGUAUCUAGUGGCUCGGUAAGGGGGCAUAAAUCCAGGACGACAUGCAUAGCCAGCGUCCACUAGGUAGAAUUUACCUAAACAAUUCAUUAGGUAGCCAAGAAUCAGUUGUAGUGGUUAUGUGAAAUCCCAAUUUGUGGUUUGUCUAAAAGUUUCUGUUACAAGUACCUGGAGGAACCCUUAACCCAUCAUCCCUCUCUAGAGCAUCAGCUAGAAUGAGUGCAUCAUGUGCAGAUCCCUCCCAUCCAGCUAGCACAUAAGUGAACCUCAGAUCAAAGUCAACUGCAGCAAGCACAUUUUGAGUAGGAUAGUGCUUCCUACCCCUGAAUGCUGCAGAUAUCUUUGCUGGAACUCUAGCAUGAACAUGAGUACCAUCUAUUGCACCAAUACAGUCCUACAUUGUAGCAAGACUUGUGAUUAAAGUUUGGUCAGGACUGCAGUUAGGUAUAGGUAAACCUUACAUUCAUUUAAUUACCUUAAAAUAAGGAUACCACCUUGGGCUUGUUCUGAUUUUAAUUGCUGUCUCAGUUGAUGGUGGCCUUAUCAUCUCUCCCCUGAGCUCACCAAUAGCAUACAAGACCUCUCUAAAAUACCUACUUACUGUUUCCAUGGAUCUCCUAAAUGUUUGGUGGAUUACUCUAAAUCUCUGGUUGUGUCCCACAACAUGGAGAAACAUUGCUACUUGUUCCUCCACAGUACUGUUUAUUGUGUCCCUUAGCAAGCUUCUAUCCCUAAGCAGGUUACACAAGUUGAAAAAGGGAGCUCUACGCAUACGCAACAUGUUCACACAUUCUAUGUCAUUACAAUUAAAAAUUUUAUUCAGGUUGGCUUGGCGUUCCUCAUCCAUAGCACUCAUUGGGGCAUAUGUAAUCCGAGGCUGUGAAUUAUAGGCCACCCUCAGCCUACUCAUGAAGUAUGCAUAGAUGACAGACACAAAAGCAGCAGCUUUUAUCACAAGCAUGCGUCUCUGGUCGACAGGGUUCAUCUAAUACACAAUGCAAAGCAUGUCUCAGCAAAACAACAAAUCAUUUUGAGCAUUCAACAAGUGGGUCAGGAAAAAAAACUGCAUCAUCGCCUAAUGCACAAGUGCUCACAUAUAGGUAAAUCAGUGUAAUAAUAAUGCAUCAUUGGAUAAGGACAUGUGCUCAGUUUUCAUUUUUAUAACUUAAUAUCAUCGGCCAAGAACAUGUGCUCACUGCUGAAAAUAAAUAAGCAUUCAUCAUCGGCUAAGAACAUGUGCUCACUGUUGAAAGAAAAUAAGCAUUCAUCAUCGGCUAAGAACAUGUGCUCACUGUUCAAAGUAAAUAAGCAUUCAUCAUCGACUAAGAACAUGUGCUCAGUUUCCAGAGUAAGUAAGCAACCAUCAUCGGCUAAUGACAAAGGCUCACUGGAAAAAAACGUUACCGCUAGCUCCUUUAGUAAACAGUCCGAGGGAUUUCAAGAGUUCAACGGGUAAGCCAAGAUAAAGGCAGAUCUGCACAUGAGGGAGAGGGAUUACUACCAAAACAAACAAGAUCCAAUCGGGAGAAACAACAACUGACCGAAACCCUAAAAGAUAAAACUUACCUUUUUACCUCCAACGAAAUCACCAGCACAGAUCCGACCCUACAAAUGUUCAAAGCAUUAGGACCCCAAAAAAACCGAUCGAGAAAGGGAGCAACACCAGAUCUGCGACGGAUUACAGGUUACCUGCUCUCUUUGCCACGAAAACCCGACGAAACGAACCUCAAAUCUGCGGAAAAUGAACAGAGGGAGAAGCGAAAGGUCAACCACCGAUAUCAUCGAGCCUCAAACACCGUGGAUCUGGAGCACAAGUGAAGAUGCAUCACCUGCUGCGUGUCAGAUCUGGAAGAGCACGAAGACGAGGACACGAGGAAGCGGGAGAUCUCACAGCGGAGAGGCAGAGGGCGAGUGCGACGGAGAGAAUGGGGGGAGGGGCGGCGGCGGUGAAGAUAUAGCGCGGAUGGAAGGCGCGAAAGGGGCGGCGGUAACCCUAGCUUCCCGCGCGCGCCCCCGCAUCUCCCGCCUGCACGCGCGGAGCCAUUUUUCUGGGCACCGAGAGCGCGCUCGCGUCCCGCACGAGCCAGGCCGCCAAGAAACGGAUUCCAUUUUCGUUUCCCGGCAGCCAGGCUCGGGGGGUCGUGUUGCACGCCCAGAGCCAGGCUCAGGUGCGAAUACAGGCAACCAAUCGCGAAGCGUGUGCAUCCCGAGAGCCAGGCCGACCCAUAUGCGGGGAAGCAAACGCGCCCUUAGGUACCACACCAUCCCAUCGAGCCGAGCCAUAUUUCCAACAAGCCGAGCUGAGCCUGAAUCCUUUACGGAGUAGUUAUGUAAAGAUUUAACAGUUACCAUGCUGAGGUCAUUUGUAGUUCAGUUUACAAAUUAGUGUUGGUUGUCUUAAUACGCUGCCUAAGGAGGUUAAGACUUCUAUUUUGGUUGCCUUCACACUAGUAAAGAAGAUAAUGUUAUGAGAUGGUAUAAUUUGACAACUCAAAAUAUACCGAGUACUUUUUUGCGUCUGUACCAAUUCUAGUAUCAUAUAUAUGUUGGUUUGGUUGUUCAGGUUGAUAUAUUUGCUUAUUCCCAGGGAUCAUUUGCUUUUUUCAUUAAAUAAAGAUAUCCCAGGUGUGAGACGCUCGGACCUGUGUGCAUUGAUUUAGAAAUGGUUUAAAUCUUCAGUUCAGUUGAUGGAGAAGGCCAUGGCUCCAUAAAGACUACUAGAGAUGUGAUAAACCAGAGUAUGUUAGUUUCAUCUGUUCCUCCUAUUUUUCCUGUUCCAUUAUUAUAAUUACGGUUUUUUGCAGGCUCAAUCAGCAGAGACGAGGGCUGAGAUGCUGCAUUACCUUUUCAAUCAGAAAACAGGGUCCACAAGUUGCCUGACGAGCUUCUUCAGUUUUAUCCCUUUUUUACGAAUAUUGAUCACAAAUAUAGUGUAUUCUAGCGAGAUUUGUGUCCCUGUAUCUGGCGUUCCAUGUAUAUACAUGUUGCCCUUAUUGACCAUAUUAUCUGGUUGAACAAAUUAGCUGCAAUCAAAGCACUCUAUUGUGAAGGACGGUUCGGUACCCUGGGUACCCGAGCCACCUCCGACACGCCUCCGGCCGCAGCCUCGCGCUCUGCCCACGUCUGAUUUUUUUCAUACGCGACUGGUGGGCCGAACGUGGGCAGUGCAGGGGCUAGAUGUCCUCGUGUGGUAGGCCUCCGCAUGUACGGUGUUUUUGAGGAUUUUGUGAUUUUUCUUACCUUUAUUAUCUGACAUGACACAUGAACUAUGUUCGGUAUUUUAGUCGGAGACAUUUUUUUUUGGCGAGUAAUGACACAUUGCUAUUUCACUCUUUGGACUUUGUAGCGAGUUGGUCGUACAUCUCCCUAAUGGCGCUAAUUAAUAGAUUUCUACCAUUUGAGGAUAAUCAGUUUGUUCACUUCAGCUUAUUCAACUGACUUAUCAGCCACCAAACAGUGGUUUCCUCUCACAACAAAUCAGCCGUUUCAGCUUUUCAGCCGGCUUAUAAGCUGAAGCGAACAGGUCCAGUGAUGGUACAGAGGCUUGAAAAUUGAUUAUUUAAGUUUCAGUAAAGGGAGUAAACAAAGUGUGUCGGAUCAUUAAGGGGUCGUUUGGUUCCCUUUGCUUAUUUUUAGCACGUGUCACAUCGAAUGUUUAGAUACUAAUUAGGAGUAUUAAACGUAGACUAUUUACAAAACUCAUUACAUAAGUGGAGGCUAAACGACGAAUCUAUUAAGUCUAAUUAAUCCAUCAUUAGCAAAUAUUUACUGAUACAUUAUCAAAUCAUGGACUAAUUAGGCUUAAUAGAUUUGUAUCGCCGUUUAGCCUCCACUUAUGUAAUGGGUUUAUAAAUAGUCUACGUUUAAUACUUCUAAUUAGUAUCUAAACAUUCGAUGUGACGGGUGCUAAAAAUAAGCAGGUGAACCAAACCGGACCUAAGACUACGAUAUGGGUAGCAGCAUCAGUUAAUACUAGAAACACAUGGUAUGUGACUCAUUCAUAUCUUUUGUUGCCGGGCCAGUAAAUAGAGCAACCAUUGUUCCAACUUCCAAGGUAGUGGCACUAGAAUAUUUCCAACCAGUCCAUGUAAUCAAAGAAUUCAAAUUGAAUAGCAAAUCUAAUUUAUUCUCUAUCUUUCUCAAGAACAAUCUUGAAUCUUAUCCCUUCGAGUCGUUCUUCCAGCUGGCUUCUGACCUCUUACACAAUGGCAUUUGUAGCCUGCAACGGAAUCAGAAAAACAAAAUAUUAAAUGUGUAUUCCUACCACCUAAAUGAUAGUCAUUACUGGUUUUGGUUGCCAUCUCUAAUUGAUGCAUGCAGAUCCAAAUAUAUAAAAUAAAUGAGAGCAGCGACGGAGAGAUUGUACAGAUAAAGUUUCCAUGAUUCAUUGGCAGCGGCUUAGAUGGCGGCAAGCCAGCGAGUGGACAGAGGCACGAUGUUGGCAUGGACUUCUCCGGAGCAGCAGCAACAGCUGAUUGAUCAUUUACAGAGAUUGUCACUGCCAUUGAAAGUUAAUAAAAGGAAGUCAUGCUUGUGCAUCCUGUAUAUAGUUGGCUAUUUUAUAGAACUAUUGAUCAUUUUCACCUUUCUUUUAGAUCCGCAUAGAAUUUUCCAACAUAUAGCCAUAUAGUUGUGGCAGAAACAGGCAAAUUUAACACAAAAAAUUAUUCAGAAUUAGACUAGUCAACGGCAUUGUGAGCAUACUCUAAAUGAAUCAGGCUUCUCCCUGAUCGAAAUCCACUGUACCAUCUCCCAGUCUAUUCAAUUCAGUUAACGGAGUCCUGCAGAAUCUUGUCGAAAAGGUAUCUCCAUUGUGGAAAAAGUAACAUGGAUCAGAUGUCACUAAAAAAGCUUUUUAUUUGGACAUAUACUAGAAUGGCAUAAAACAUGAGAACCAUAACUAGAUUGAUUUUUUUAAAUUGAUGACUAGAAUAACCUUAGCAAUAAACAAUUUACAGCCGCUAUAGUUCCUGGUGUCUCAAUAAGAUAAACUAAGAUCAGAUAAAACAAGUAAUCCCAAUUCAAGUAUCGAUGCAUCCAAAUAACCAAACUAUUGCAUUAGCACACGGAACUUGCCUGUAAUCUGAGCACGGAAAUUGGGCUCCAAGGUUGAGAACCAGACUCAAUGUCUGAAUGAGAUCAGCAGAUCAGCAGGUCAGAGGGGAUUUUCGGAAGGGAGAGGGAGGCAACCUGUAUGUCCAGCCAGCACCACCUGGAAUAUCAGAAAAUUCAUGCAUCUGUUCCUGCUAAUGGAAGAUGUUGUCCACUGUGGCUGAUCCCCAGGGGUAUCAGCUGGUGAUAUAGCAUUGACCUGAAAAGAAAACGACAAUUCAACUGAGCAAAGAUAGUGAUGCUACAAGAAAAAAAAAAGGAAACCUGUGUACAUGUGUACAUGAGUAAACAUUGCAAAUAUUUACAAGAACAGUUCAUGUGUAGGUUUUUUUUUCUUGAGAGAGCUGUAUCAUUAUUAAGAAGGAAAAAAAAAAGGAAGAGCCCUUACAAACACACACACACCCGCACACCAACCAAAUUUUUCAGCUAACCAUUCGCGCCUGUAGACAGAAACAAACGUGUAGGAACUAGGCUCCUGCUUGCAAUGGGGACAGGUAUUAAAGGCACGGAGCAUACACUACUGCAUUGAGCAUUGGAGCAUUUCCAGAAACAAGAAGUGUGCAUCAGCAUUACACAAUAUUCAUCCUCCAAACACGCAUUCAUAAUGCUACAUAACUGACAUUUAAUAGGAUCAAGUUUUUCUAUAACAUGUUGACAAAAGUGAAUACCCUAAACAAACAUUUAUGACAGUUGGGCCAUGGGAAGCACAUGACAUUCAUCAUAAACCCAAAUCAAUGAUUGUUUGGCUUUUGUGCGUAUCAAUUAUCAUAUAUAGAGGAUGAACCAAUGUGGCCACUCCACCAUCUGCAGGCAUCCUCUUGCCAUGAAUUGUCCAGAAAUGUGACCGACUAUUCACGGUGAUGCCAUGAGAGACCAUGAGAAGUAGUCUUCUAUGUGUUUCAAAACUAACCUUAAACGUGGGAUCUGUACUGGUCAUCAGGAUUAUUGUGUCAAGAUUGUAUAGUUGAUUAGGUCAAUAAUAUGACAUUUGGUUUCAGUAUGUGAUUUUGACUUGUUUUGACCGGAGAAAUCGUAUCGCCCCAUUUGUAAAUGCAUGAUAGGUUGAUAUGUAGUUUUUUUUUGAAUUGUACCCAUUUCUAAUAAAUCCAUCUUAUGCAUUUUUUAGCGGAUCCAUAUUCCAUCCUAUUCAUUCUGGAAUCGUAACUAGUUAGAAAUUUUCAGUACUGGGCCAAUCUAGUUUAGGCUUGGCGAGCUACGGGCCCACCGGCCCAGUAUCGUUUUCGCAGAUAACAUAUCUCUACAUCGCCACUUCUGCAUCGCAGCCGCCCGCCGCCGUAAUGGCGAGAGACAGAUCUCCAACCAAUUCGCCGCCGGCGAAACGCCGUAAGGAAUCCAGCACCACCACCGUCGCUGCCCUCGGCGAGGACAUCCUGCUCGAGAUCUUCCUCCGCCUUCCCUGCCUCGCCACGCUCGUCCGCGCCGCCCUCACCUGCCGCGGGUGGCGCCGGGCGGUGGCCUCCUCCCCGGCCUUCCACCGCCGCUUCCGCCAGCUCCACCCGGCGCCCCUCCUGGGCCUUCUCUUCAAUCCUCCUGGCCCCGUUCAAGACCCUGAGCUCCCCGCCUUCCCCUCCUUCGUCCCCACCCGCGGCACCGACCGGGACCAAGCCGCCGCCGUCCGUGGCGGCGACUUCUUCCUCACCUCCCUCCAGGAGCGCUCCGGUGUCCACAACGGCUGGGACAUCCACGACUGCCGCGGCGGGUACGUCCUCCUCGCCAAUGGUGAUCAGGAAACAAUGGCGGUGGUCAAUCCCUUGGUGCGACGGAGCGAAAGGUUCCUUGAUUUUGGCCACAAGGACACUCUUGAAGGUCAUCGCGCCUGCGGCAUCGUACACAGGGCCUGCUUGCUCUGCUCCGACGAAGACCCCACGUCGUUCCGCGUGAUCAUUAUUGCCCAUGACAAGUCCAGGGUGCGGGCUACUGUCUUCAGCUCGGAGACCGGCGAGUGGUCCGUUCGCCGGUGGGUGCAUAUCCCGGCGAGGCCACGGCGCGGCCGUGGCGAACGGUGGAUUCUGAACAGCAACAUGCAGGCCAAUGGAUUCUUGUACUGGGUUUCGAAAAAUCGCAAAUAUAUGGUCACACUGGACACGGCAACAGUGGAUUUCUCUGUCAAUGAGCUCCCUAUUUUCCUGCAGAAUCGACACUGCACCUUCGUUGUGGGUGAAAUGAAGAAUGGUGAAGCCUGUAUUGUCUAUGCUAUUAACUUCACAGUUGGUGUCCUGUUUCGCAGAACAGAGAGUGAUGGCGUUGAUAGGUGGGUGCUGGACAGGGCCGAACUCUUGGAGACACAGCUUGGUCGGGUCCUUGGCGAAGUAAUGGAGAACUACAAUGAGGUGGAGGUUGUGGCAGUAAGGGAUGGCUUUGCGUACUUGGCAACAACAGAAAGUUUAAAUGAUUCUGGGACUCCUAGUUGGUUCUUGUCCCUCUGCUUGGAAACAAUGAUAUUGGAGAAGCUGUUUCAGAGGACGUAUGAUAGUUCGGUGCACCCCUAUGUUAUGCCAUGGCCGCCUUCUUUAGUUGGUAACUAUGGGAGGUUUGCACCUGAAGAUGGUACAUGAAGUGCAUAUGCAUGACUAGGAGAGGCUAGUAAAACCCAACGUCCUAUUUGCUGUUAUUGAAAAAAUCAGCAUGCUGAAAUGCCAUGAUAACUACAUUCUUCUGAGGCUGCAUCAUGCUGAAGAAUUACAUCCAAUUCCGUGACGCUGAAGAUUCUGUCACCAGUCAAUCCUACAAGUUGAUCUUUUGAAUUUGUUAUUUAUGUUCAGUAACCAGUUUUCAGUAUCGGUGUGAUGAUUCUGAACUUUAUUCUACAGUAUUUCUUAUGUUCGCUACUGAGUCUUUCUUUUUGGGUCUUGUAUGGUUUUAGGAGUCUUUUUUGUGAGAUCCUUGCUCUAAUGCUCUGAUGAGAAUAGGGACUAUUUACCUUUGAUCCAAGAAAAACAAUGAGUAGGAAUAAGCACACUUGCCUUUUCUUUGUUGAUUGAUUUCGCUCAUAAAAAAAUUAAUGUUAGCCUUUCAAAGUAAAAAAAUUGAUGGAGUGGCUGCAUCCUCUCUAUAUGAUAUGUUUCAUGGAUGGCUAGUCUGGCAUCCUCUCUAUAUGAUAUGUUUCAUGGAUAUGCUCACGCUGGACACGGCGACAAUGGAUUUCUAUGUCGCUGAGCUCCCUCUACGGGUGAACGUGAAGGAUCGGGAAUGCAGCUUUGUUGUUGGUGAAACUAUCAAUGGCACACCAUGUGUUGUCUAUGCUUUUAAGUUUAGAGUUUGUCUAUCCUUGCAAAGAAUAGAUGAUGAUGUCAAGAAGUGGUUGGGAGACAAGAUCACUUCUAUAGACACGCAACUUGAUGGGGUCCUCGGACAACUAAAGAACAAGUACAGUCAAGUUCAGGUUGUGGCAGUCAGGGAUGGCUUUGCAUACUUGACAGCAUCACUGAUGUACAAUCAUGACACGACCCCGAGUUGGGUCUUCUCCUUGGAAACAAUGAAACUGGAGAAGAUGUUUCAGAGGCCGUAUGAAUGUUGUGUGCAGCCCUAUGUUAUGUCAUGGCCACUUUCACUAGUUGAUAACUAUGGUAGUUUUGCAUUCGAAGAUGGCACGCGAAAUACAUAGGCCAUGAAAUAUUAUGCAGACAGAGAAGUGGAGAAGACAAUAAGUCCAUCCUUCUAUUUGCUGUUGUUUAGUGAAUCAUCAAUAUUUCUUGAUGGCAAUGCCAUUCAAAGCUGCAUCAUACUUAAGAAUACAAAUCAAAUUCCACAAAGUUAAAGAUUCAAUCAUUAGUGACUUCUCUAAUUUGAUCUUUUCUUUGGUUGUUGUUAGCAUUUUUCAGUACUGGUUAAAUGAUUAUGUUUCUUAUUUUUCAGUACCAAGUCAUUUGUAGGUGUUGGGUUAUGAUAUUUCAAGCGUCUUUUGUGGUCUAUCUAUAAGAUCCUCCUUGCACGGCUCAUUUUCUUCGAGCUCUGCUUCUCCCUUUCCCAUCUUCCCGAUGAACAAGUCAGAAUUGCCUCAACAAAAAUGGAUGAAAUUGGACCGAAAAAAUCAAUUCAGCUUCGUUAUCGAUUAGGUAUCAGUGGGUGCCCUUGCUUUGAUUGAAUUGACGGAUAGUAGCUACUACCCGGCUUUCCCUCUAGGAACUAAUCCACCGCUCCCGAGAGAAUGGAUGUAUACAACUCUGCUGUGAAUAUUACUUAAUUUCAUCAUGCUAAUAAUCAUACAUAGCCUUCUAUAUUCGUAUUGCAUUUCGUAGUUAUGGAAGCCUCUAAAAUCACUUGAGUCUUGUGUAAUCCGAUUCCAUGGAGGUUAUCAGGUUUAAAUUUUUUCCUUCACCCCCAAUGUUGUCCAAACUAAAUGGAGUUUAUUGUAUUUCUACGUCGCUUCCUAGUGUUUAUUCCUGGAUUUUUGACGUUUUAUUUCAUGAUUGACUAACAAUUCCAAUGUGCAAACACUACCUGUACUCUGGUAAACUAAGUCACAAUCUCAUCGAACAGUUGUUUAAUCUUUGUAAAAACUUAUUCAUCGGACGACUAGGCUCCAUGCGUCAGGCAUGUUAAUUACAUGGUCAGUUACUUUAGUCUUUAACCGACCUGGUAAUAACUAACACUUUCUCAGUGCCUUCAAGCUAGAUUCACCGAUCCCGGUAAAGACAUUGUCCAAAACCAUUGCCAGUGUGCCAGCAUCGAAACUGUAAGCGUUGCGUCGAGGUUCAGAUUACAUCUUCUGAGGUGAACUGCUUUGCUCCUUUGGGCAAUGCCCCGGUGAGAGAUCCUUUUUGCCUUGUGAUUUCUGGGCAAUCUUUCAGCUUGCCUCCCUUUCUUGCUCUAAACUCACAAGUUCACAAUUAAUGGGCAGGAUGUUUUGUUCCAGUGUUGAUCUUUUACUUCACUCUUUUGCAACUUCAUUGUGCAGGUAUAUAUGUAGAAAUUGCUAACCUUCAGUCUUGCUAGGUCAACACUGGAAAUGGACUGCCAAAAGGCAUUAUAAGCACAUAUUCUUUUUUGUGUACCCCUCCUGGAAGAAAGAGAUACAAAAGGGAUGUGGCGUGAGUCUGAUUUAUACUGUUACUGCUAUCCAUUCGAUACAUUUUGUUUCUGGGUGCUGACUAUACAUCCACGACAAGAAAGGACAUCCCUCUGAUGACUGUAGUCGAUUAUCACCAAUCAUUAUGGUGCAAUUGCAGAAAGGGAAAUGUCUUGCGUUAACAAUUCAACAGUCGUCCAUGAAGAGACAUGCUUCUGUCUGAGCAGUGUUCCAUUUAGAUGCAGAAGUUGGGAUAUACGGUCUAUAUUGCGAUAGUCCACUCCAGUGGCCUUCUCACCACCAGGACGACAUACAGUUAGGGCAUGCUCAAUGUAUGUGAUCCACCAUAAUCUUAAGAGUGGGUCCAUAAACAGUUGAUCUUGUUACAGCCAUGCGCACAAAGCCAUGCGCACAAUGCUAUGGUCUAAAUUGGACCGCAAGAUGGGCCCCACACAAGAUAAAAAAUCCUGCAUUUUAACUCCCCAUCCGUCAAUCUCUCGGCCCAAUAUUUAAACAUGCUAGGAAAGAGAAAGGAUGGGAGGGAAAGGAGAGAGAAGAAAUUAAUUCUUUUCUCCUUACGGUGAAUCGUAAUCUUGAGGUGCACCUUAAACCUUUUUCCCUUUAGGUGCAUCCCCACAAUGUUUAAUGCUACCUUUUUCAGAGCAAUGAUUAGCUUAAGGCUACCUUUUUCAUAUAUUGUGGUUACCCUUAGCAAGCAACCACACGGGUGGCAGUCAUGUCAUUGUAUCACCUUCAAGUUUUCAAAUUCAAGUCUAUUGAUGUGAUGUAGAUGACAAGAUGACAUGUUGAAGCCUAAAAAACACUAAGGGGGCGUUUGCUUCCACUGACUUAUUUUUAGCACGUGUCACAUCGAAUGUUUAGAUACUAAUUAGGAGUAUUAAACGUAGACUAUUUACAAAACCCAUUACAUAAGUGGAGGCUAAACGGCGAGAUGAAUCUAUUAAGCCUAAUUAAUCCAUCGUUAGCAAAUGUUUACUGUAGCAACACAUUGUCAAAUCAUGGACUAAUUAGGCUUAAUAGAUUCGUCUCGCCGUUUAGCCUCCACUUAUGUAAUGGGUUUUGUAAAUAGUCUACGUUUAAUACUCCUAAUUAGUAUCUAAACAUUCGAUGUGACGGGUGCUAAAAAUAAUUCAGUGGAAGCAAACGGGGUGUAAGACACUAGGUGGUAGCAACGGAAUCUGCUUCCAGACAUUGCUUGGGCCAAGUCCACAAUUGGGUUGACCUGGAACUUGUUGUGUGAUCACAGAUUAUUUCGAACGAACACUGAGUGCUGACAUUGUAAUCACCAAAUAUUGUGUGAAAUAGUUUUAUCUGCAGACUCACCCAACUACCCAAGGCUGUGGGGAUGGGGAGGGUGUGUGGAGAUGUGCAUGAGUGAUGUAUGCCUUUAGUUUGUACUGGGGAUAGAACCUAAGUAUAUGUUACGGAGUACUUGUUAACAGGAUUGAUCUCUUCAGCAUAUUCUUUUCAAAAAGAAUUCACGUUCUACCUAGCAAAACUGAAAGAAAACAGCAUUUUGGUUUAACACUGAUAUGCAAUUCACAUAGCAAAGCGUGAGGGAUGUAGUUUGAUAUAUUUUGUUUUUUACAUGUCUUUUGCAUGUAAUAAAUACUCAAGUUCUUAGUUCAAGAAUCAAGAUUGGCAAAGCUAAAACGCCAAAAAGAAGAAAUCGAGAAACUCGUAUUGCUUUGAUGGGUAACUGAAAAAUAACAUAAACAUUGUAUGAUACGACAUUGGGACAUGCAACCUUACAAAAUCAAACAAGUUCAAAUACUCUAAAACCCAAACAUUAUUUGAUGGACUUUGGUUUGCAGCAGGAACACAAACCAACAUAGAAGUCCAUUGAGCAAAACAACAAGAACAUGGAGCACUUAUGCGCAUGGGUUGUGGCGGAGCUUCAACGACAGAUCCAUUGCCAUGCUAGAUUCACCACUAGACGAGAGAUUUAGCGAUAGGUCCAGAGCUGCAUCAAAUCCACCUGUAUAUGAGGAUGACCUCUCAUACACAGAAAAUUCAGACUCAUUGCCAAAUAGCUCGUCAGACACAUGCUGAGGAAAGAACUGAAUCUCCCUUGCCAUUCUCUCCACAGCUUCAUUAGCGUCUUCUUCAUUGACAAGCAAUGGUGUCAAGGCCUUCUUUGCACUGUGUGUCUGCUCCUUCUGCAUUAUUUCAAAUAUUAUGAAAUCUAAAUACAUCCUAUAACAAAACAGAAGGUAAUUUGAAAAGCAUAAAAUAUCUUAUAGACCAAAGAAGAGAAACAUACUCAUAGAAUUCUAUAAUUCUUUUUGUAAGUUUUUUCAAAAGCUAUUGUAUAGGAUGAUUUUACCUCUUACCAAUUGUUUAAUUUUUAUAUUCCAGUUGAUAAUGCUACGGAACCAAGCAUAUAAUUCCUAACAUUGAUUGAUAGAGAAAAGGUAUAUAUAGCUGGUCUAACCAAUAGAAAGGUAAAUCUUUUAACAUAUUUGAGGAGUAUAUCUAAAUCUUCUCGACCAAACAAUCAUUUGUUGUUGACUCAGUUCUUAGCAAAAACAAAGAAAUCAUUUGUUGUUGACUCAACAACAACACUGGUGGGUGAUCCUAGUGGUAGCUCCGUCAUCAUAACUUUCCUCUUUACAGUCUUGAAGGAACAAAAAAAAUGCAUGCAUUUGUAAUUUUACAAUAUGGUUAUGUAUUGUAAAAUAUACUAAAUGUUGUGAGAAAUUGGAGAUAUGGAUGGUUUGGGAUUUAUGGAUAGUCACCUGAUGGUGAUAGCCAACAUUGGUGCUGCUUGAUGCAUGUUUCGGCACAGCCUGAUGGUUUGGUACCAAUUUGGGAUAAUCAUCAACACCUGCAAAGCCUGCAAUUGGUGUAACACUUCCGAUGCGUUCCUUUCUGUCCAUGGCAUACAUCUGUGGUAUCAUAGGAGGGAUCCUAUUUCUAGUAUCCACAGCCCAAGGGGGGCACCUCUGAACAUCUAAUGAUGGCUGAAAAAAGAAAUGACAGAUAAAUUGUUAUGCAAAAGGAUAUUGUUGCAUUAUGAAACACGGCAAGUUCACGUUCAUACGUUGGGCGGGAAGGUGGGAGCAACAGCACCAAGUUGACGAAGUUCCUCUCGGUGUGGCAUGGUGUAACUACGAUGUUGGAUCACCCUAUGACUAUUCGUGCACAUGGAUUCUAGUUGUGGGGAAUUUGAUGAGCUCAUCUCUAUCAAGGUUAGAGGUGGGGAAACCACCGGAGGAACCGAGGGACCUUAGGGGAAAGUAGUUACGAGAUGUCCCGCAUAGGAAAAAAAAUGACGAGGCAAACUACACACAAUAGAACUUGUGUUAAGUUAGGAACCACCCCAUUGGGCUUUUGUAGCUGAGUGUCUAGGAUGCGACAAAAGGUGAGUAUCAAUCAUUUAUAAAAUUAGUGCUUAGGUGUAAAUGUUCAGUAAUACAAAAUCUUUGAAGAUUUUUUUUUCACAUACCGAAUCCGAGGUUAGCCAAACCAUAAGCUGACAGCCCUGGAUUGAACUGUAUAAGUUUUUAAUUUAGACCAGCUAAACUGUAGAAUAAAGUAACAACUGGUAAAACAUUUACGCAGUAAUCCCUUUAAUGUGUGGGUGUUGAAGCGGGUGGGUUGGCAGAUGGAGGGGGCUGUCACUAAGCCAAUUUAAAGCAUAGAAAACAGAGCAUGGGCUAAUUCCAGUUUACUUAGUAUAGAUGGCCAGAUGAGCCAUCCGGCACUAGCAUGAUUUGGCCCGACCCGACUAGGCCCGGCACUAUCAGAUCUGAUAACUUAUCCGUGCCGGGCUGAACCGGCACUGCAUGCUGAACUGCUGGCCCAGACCCAGCAUUAUGAUCUUUUUAUCGUGUCGGGUCGGCACGCUGGCACGGCAGGCCCAUCGUGCUAGUGCCGGGCCAGCACUAGCACUACUAGUGGCGGCCGGCCGGCUCCCGGUCGUGGCCCCCCACGGCGGCGGCCAACGCAUUUCCAUGCCAUCACGACUGAGAAGAGGAAGAAGGGGCGGCACCUGGGGAGGAGUGAGGGUGGCUGGCGACAUCGACGCGACAUUAGGGUGAGAAGCAGUGGCUGGCGGCGCGAUGUUUGGGGAGGAAUGAGGCUGGAGGGGUGACGCACAUGAGGGAGCUGCUCAGUGGGUCUGGCCCAUCUGACCAUCUAUAUUACCUAGGCCACUGUAAUGCAGCCAUUUGUUUUGGAAUGUUGAAAACCCAUUCACCAACUAAAAAAAUCUUUCAUGAUAUAUUUCAAGAACAACCUGUAACGGUAGUAACCUAUUAGGGGCGGCUAUUUGUACAGGAACAACAGUAGUAACCUAUUAGGGGCGGCUAUUUGUACAGGAACAACAGUAGUAACCUAUUAGGGGCGGCUAUUUGUACAGGAACGGGGAAUGUAAAAUCCUCCAUACAAACUUCAAUUACUAAAUGUGUCUUAGUUUAUAUUCAAUGGUAACUUUAAAAACAUUAAAAAAAUUGUAAGCCAAAUAAAAAACACUGAAAUCACUAGAGAUGCCAGCUCUGUUAACUACUACCACCAGAUUUUUUUGGUACACGGCUGACACAUAACAUAUUACAUAUUACUAGUAAGUUUUAGUUUUAAAUUGUAACUUGCUAAUAACUUAUAGUAUUUGAAGGUUCACACUAAAUGAGCCUUCUACUUUUCUUUCCUAACUACUCCCUCCAUUCCUUUUUGUUGGGCGGGUUAAUAUUGAAAAGAAAUUUCGUUCUGCUAGGUGUUUAAGGUAUCCAAAACAAUCAUUCUCCCUUCCCCAUUCUGCCGUCACCUCAGUUACUGCUUGCCAGUCUACUACAUGCAAAGGAAUUAAGGGAGCAUGCAGGUUCAUGCUUGCAACAGAAUAGCAAGGUUAGCAUACUCUUUUUUGCUUGUCGUUUGCUGAUAACUAAUGCUCCAUAACCUAUAUAAUGAGUGCUAAAACAACUAACAAAAAAGAAAUGUUAGGAGUAUAUUGAAUAUAUGAUGUAUGAAAAUUUGAAGGUAGACACUAAAUGAACAAUACCGUGCAUUGGGACACAUGAGCGGCAUGGAGUGACUUGCUUGCAUGGAAACCAUUAAAAUUUGGAUACAUGAUCGUAGAGAGGGAAUGGAUUAGCGAUAGAAAGCUAUCUGAGCCGUGUAGGAUCUGUGGCAAAAACGUAAGCAAAUGAACCCCCUAAUUCGAGUAUUGGUGGUUAAAGGCAAUGCGAUAAUCAAUAUAUUAACCCCAUAUUUAAUGAACAUACAAGAGUUAGGUCUUGAUGAUAGAGCUUAUGAAUCAAUCAACCUAAAAGACAUAUGAUGGUCAACAAGAAGUAAUUCAUGAAGAUUAAGUACAUGUUCAUUCCAAAGGAGGUGGACUGGGUACUUGGGAGUGUAUAGUAGAAACUUGGGCCAAAAAUGCACCAUGGACAUUGUUAGUGUGUGGUAUGACGCACACUUGAUGAGCUGCUAUCGAUGAUACGAUUCCAUAUUGUGUGAGUUGUUUGUAAAUAGCCUAUAUGCACCCAAUGAUUGAAUGAUGACAUGUGGAGAGUUUAGACCACAAAUGAUCUAUAUGCUAUCCAAUGCUACACAUGGAAAGUAUAGACCGCAAACAACAGACAACAUCCAUACUAUGGAAAAAAAUGCUGACCAUAAGAGCGCAUGCCUUAUGCUACAGACUACCUAUAUAUUUUACGUUGUCAAUCUUUAUAAAGUUUUUUUGCUAUUGACAGUCAAAGUUAAAUACUUUGAGCUCUGGAGCAAAAUUAGAAUCAGAUGAGAAGUUGAUAAUGUAUAAAUUUCCUGAAACACCAUGUCUUAGUUGGGAUUCUUCGCUAAAUUUCAGACAAUCGAUGAAAUUCUUGGUGGUGAUGUCCGUCUAGUAGAAUCUUCAAAAGUUGUUCUUGAGCAAAUGUGAUCAGAUUGUAGUUGGGAAAAUCUUUUCAACAAGGUGUACGAGUUUUGUUUGGACCACAGCAUAGCUGUUCCAAACACGGUGUAAACAUACAUUUUGCGCGAUGGUUACAAACGAGCAUUACUUCCAGGUGGAAUAUUUCGAGCAACACUCAUACUGAACUAACUGAAUUAAAUUUCAAGUUCAAUGAGAAGUUAAUGGGUCAUCCAUAAAUGUCACACAGUAGUUCCCGAAAAUGGAUUUGCAUCUGUUGAAAUAUGGAAACAGGUGGAGAAGUGCUUUCCAGCUGAUUUUAUUCAAAAAGGUAGACUGGGUUGAGCCUCAAUUGAAUCUUGGUGGAUGCUUCCAGCUGCCCAGAAUUGAAAAGGACCACAACCUUACCGAAGCUUGGUUGAGAUAGGACACCAGAGAGUACAAAUUGAUUGAUAGAUUGAUCCAUUUGCUUUGUUACCCUUCCAAUUACCACAGCUAGUGUGGAGCGUGCAUUUUCCAGCUUAUUAAGUCAUGGCUGCAUAACGGAUGGAAGAUGACUAGUUCCCUUUUCUCCAUGUAAUUACUUAGUAGGCUUCUAAAGAUAAUUGCAGGCAUUUACUUGACUAAAUCUGGUUAAUGAUUCAUGAAAGCAAAUUUAUGUGAUGUUGUAUUGCCAUCUUUCAUAGUUACCAUGUACUAAUACGUAAUCAUUUCAUUUGAGGAAGCAAAAACAUGAUAAUUAACAUGCCCAAGAUUACAUAUAUGAAUACUGUUGGAAUGAAGAGGAAACACCACUUUGUCUUGAGCAGAAGGUUCUUAAGAGACACCACAAAAGAGGCUAAUGAUGCCACAUCCCAGCACCUAAAGUAAGAACAAGCGUAAGGAACAUACCAGUUUCAGAACUCUUACACCAAUACUGAGAAACGUUGAAGUGGUUAAAUAUUAACGGAUAAAGUGAUACCUGGUAACGCAUAUCAGAGAGCAUCUUCAAGUGCAAACUUCCCAUAGUUACCAACUAAACAAGGCGGCCACUCCAUAAUAUAGGGAUGAACAAUAUUGUCAAAUGUCCUCCGAAAUAGUCUUUCCAGCUUCAUCGUUUCCAAAAAUAGGGACAGGAAUAACCAGCAUGGACUUCGGGGGUCAUGAUGCAUCAAUGAUGUAGCCAAGUACACGUAGCCAUCCUGAACUGCCAAAACAAACAGCUCAUCAGGGUUGUCCACCAAAUUGUUCAGCACCCUGUCGUCAUCCAAUCCACAACGGAGGACUCGUGCAAGCUCACUGCCCAAGGGGACUAACCGGUCCAGUAACCAUCUGUCACCACCAUCGUCAUCCCUUAUAUGCAUCAAUACACCAAUAUUCAAUUGAUCUGAACAAACAAUGCAAGUUGCACCUUGCUUUGUCUCACCGACAUCAAAGCUAGAGUUCCUCAGACAGUGGGAGCUCAAUGACAGAGAAUUUCAUCGUGACGGUGUCAAGUGAAACUAAUAAAUGCAUCUGGUCCUCAGACCCAGUACAUGAACCCAUUAGCUUUGCAUCACACCAACUGCAUUCUGAACCCAACGGUUAUCAUCAUCUGACCUCACAGGGGCAGGGACCUCCACCCACGGGUGAUUUUUCCACUCUCCUCAUGCAUAAGAAACACAACGACGAAUGAUGUGGGAUCCUCGGCCGAGACAGCAAGCGAGGUGAAGCUGGACGGUGGGGCCAAAGGACCCAUCAAAGACAUCUUGAGGAGAGUGAUCAAAGGCAUUUUCUCUGCGGCGCGUCAAGGGGUUCAUCACCACCAGUAUUUCGUCAUCCCAAUUCAGCAGGAGGACGUAGCCGCGGGAGCAGUCGAGGACGUCCCAGCAGGGGAUUUCACCGGGGCCAUCCUGGAGGGAGGUGAGGAAGAAGUCGCCACCGCGGACGGCGGCAGCCAGGUCCCGGUCGCGGGGGCGGGUGGGGGCGAAGGCAGGGACGUUCGGGAUCUGUGCAGGGCCGGGGACCUCGAAGAAUAAUCCGAGGAGAGGCGAUGGGUGGAGGGCGCGGAAGCGGCGGCGGUGAGAUUAGAUUUGUUUUCGGUAUAGUUUUCCAAAUGGGCCGCCCGGCCCUAGCCCGGCACUAACCCAUCCUGGCCCGGCACUAAUAGGCCCGAAGGGUUUUCAUGCCGGGCUGGGCUGGCACUGCGUGCCGAGGAGGUGGCCCAGGCCCGACCUGACGACCUUUUUAUCAGGCCGGGCUAGCCCACUAACACGACGGGCCAUGCCGUGCUAGUGCCCAGCCCGGCACUGGCAGCGGCGGCCGACUCCAGUUGCCCCUGGAGGGCGGCGACGGCCGGCCUCCCGCAGACAGUCGCCCCCCGGUGGCGGCAGCUGCCGCCGUGCGUCGGCCCCCUGGCGGCGGCGACCAGCCCCCCGCGUCGGCCCCUGGCGGCGGCGGCGGCUAGCCCCCCUUGGCGGCCUCGGGCGGCGGAGGCUGGCCCCCGCGCAGCUGGCCCCCUGCGGUAGGCAUGGUGGCUCCCGUCCCCAAGCAGGAAGGUCGGGAGGAAGGUGGGAGGACCCGGGAGGGAGGUGGGAGGACCCUGGGAGGCUAGGAUCUUGGGGAUGGGUGGACGGCCAAAUGGGGAAAAUUGAAAGGAUAAGUUAGGGUUUUGUAUUUAUAUGGUAGUUAGAUCGGAUCACAUCGGACCGGCCUAAAAAUCAUGCUGGGCUCGUGCUGGCCCAGCGUGCCGGGGAGGCAACCCAGGCUUGGCACCAUCAUUAUGCCGGGCCAGUCCUGGCACUAUUCACUUCGUGCCGAGCCUGUGCUCAUGCCGUGCUUUUUAGUGUCGGGCCUUGGGCCGCCCAACGAGCCUGGCCUAUUUGGAAAUCUUUGAUUUUCGGCGUGGCGCCAGCGGUGGCUGGAUCGCAGAGGGGGUUUUGGCGCUUUGCUUUGGUGAAAAUGUUAAGGCGCCUUUUUAAAAAACUGAGCCCAUCGAAUCAUGUGCUAAAUGGGCCUGGAGGUUCACAUAUCAUCUCAUCUUAGGGGGUGUUUGGCACACAAGGGUUAAAAUUUAGCCCCCGUCAUAUCGGAUGUUUGACACUAAUUAGGAGUAUUAAACAUUGGUUACUUAUAAAACUAAUUGCACAACCCAUAGGCUAAAUCGCGAGAUGGAUCUAUUAAGCCUAAUUAGUCCAUGAUUUGACAAUGUGGUGCUACAGUAACCAUUCGCUAAUGAUGGAUUAAUUAGUCUUAAUAGAUUUGUCUCGUGAUUUAGCUUACGGGUUCUGCUAUUAGUUUUGUAAUUAGCUCAUAUUUAGUCGUCCUAAUUAGCAUCCGAACAUCCGAUGUGAUAGGGCUAAAGUUUAGCCCUAUCUUCCAAACACCUCCUUAUUAGGCCUAGGGCGUGACACAUAUAGGGGUGUUUGGGAGGAGGGGGCUAAAGUUUAGUCCCGUUACAUCGAAUGUUUGGACACUAAUUAGGAGUAUUAAACCUAGACUAAUUACAAAACUAAUUACACAACCCAUAGGCUAAAUCGCGAGACGAAUCUAUUAACCUAAUUAGUCCAUAACUUGACAAUGUGGUGCUACAGUAACCAUUCGCUAAUGAUGGAUUAAUUAGGCUCAAUAGAUUCGUCUCAUGAUUUAGCCCAGUGGUUCUGCUAUUAGAUUUAUAAUCAGUUCAUAUUUAGUCAUCCUAAUUAGCAUCCGCCAACGUGAAGUUCAGCCCCCGUCUCCCCCGCUCGGCCCAUUCCUUCUCGUAGACACUACCGGUGAGGUCAGGAUCCGUCACCUACCCGCAGCCGCCACCGCCCCUGCCGCCGGCCGCAAUGACCUCCGUCACUGAUCCAAGCCAGCCGCCGCCGGCCAGGACCCCCUCCACCAUCCACUCCCUCGGUGAGGACCUCCUGCUCGACAUCUUCCUCCGCCUCCCGUCCCUCGCGGCGCUCAUCCGCGCUGCCCUCACCUGCCGCGCGUGGCGCCGCGCGGUGGCCUCCUCCCCCGCCUUCCGCCGCCACUUUCGCGACAUCCACCGGGCGCCCCUCCUCGGCCUCUUCUUCGAGACCCCCAGCGUCGGCCAAGCCCCUGCCGUCCCUGCCUUCCCCUCCUUCGUCCCUGCCCGCCGUUCCGACAGGGAUCUGGCCGCCGCCGUACGCGGCGGCGACUUCUUCCUCACCUCACUCCAGGAGCGCCCCGGCGGUCCCCACGGCUGGGACAUCCUCGACUGCCGCGGCGGAUACAUCCUCCUCAGGAACGACGAAGAGGAGAUAAUGGCGGUAUUGAAUCCCUUGGCACGGCGAAGCGAGCGGUUCUUUGAUCUUGCCCAUGAGGACACCCUCCAAGGUCACCGCGGCUACCCCGUCGUGUGUUAUAAUGCCUGCUUGCUCUGCUCCGACGAAGACCCCUUGUCGUUUCGAGUGGUGCUUCUUGCACAUGAUGAGUCCAGGGUACGGGCUACAUUCUUCUCCUCCGACACCAAUGAGUGGUCGAUUCUGCCGUGGGUCAAUGUCCCCGCGAGUUCAAGCCGUAAGAAAUUUUGGCUUCUGGAUAGCAGCAUGCAAUCAAAGGGGUUCUUGUACUGGGUUUACAAGAAUCGCAAGUAUAUGAUCACACUUAAUACAGUCACAAUGGAGUUUUCUGUCGAUGAGCUUCCUCAGCUCCUGAAGAAUGAGCAUUGCAGCUUUGUGGUUGGUGAAACAAGUAGUGGUGCACGCUGUAUUGUCUAUGCUAUUGAUUUCUGUGUUGGUUUGUUAUUGCGCAGAACAGAGAAUGGCAUCAUUGAGAGGUGGGACCUGCAAUGGGCUGCCCGUUUAGAUACCCAGCUUGAUCAGGUCCUCGGCGAACUAAUCAGUGUCUAUGAUGAGCUGCAAGUUGUAGCAGUCAGGGAUGGCUUUGCAUACUUGGCAACAUCAGAGAAAUCAGAUGAUACCCAGACUCCUAGUUGGUUCUUGUCCUUCUGCUUGCAAACAAUGGAAUUGGAAAAGCUGUUUCAGAGGACGUAUGACGCUGGUGUUUACCCCUAUGUUAUGACAUGGCCUCCUUCUUUAGUUGGUAACUAUGGGAGUUUCGCUCUUGAAGAUGCUACACAGAAUGCAAUAACUGGCCAUCAGAUGUGAUACAAGGAAUAAGAAAUGGAGAAGCCAGCGAAACCAAGCACUGGUUGUUGUUUGCAAGGAAACUAACAUACCCAAAUGCAGAUGCAUCAUGCUGACAAAUCAAACCGUAAUCCAUGAUGCCGAAGAUUCAGUCACCACUCGCUAGUCAGUUAUCCUAUGCUUUGCUGUUUUGCACUGGUUAUUGUUUUACCAUUAGUGAGCUCUUUUUCAGUGCUGAUCUGAUGAUUCUGGACUUUAUUUUAUUCUGUAUGCCCAUCAUAGCUAGCUGUUGGGUUACACUAUUAUUAGGAGUCUCUUUUGUUGUCUGUCUGUAAGAUCCUUUAUCCAAAGAGAACAGUGGCUAUGUAUCUUUGUUGCAACAUUAAAUCUUAAGAUUACUGCUACCUGUUACUUAGGCUUCUCCAAUUUGAUAUUGUCAUCCUAAGAUUACUGCUACCUGUUUGGUAUGGAAUACUGUCAUCUUAAGACUACUGCUACCUGUUAGGUAUAUAUGAUGGUAGAGUGGCUACACCUAUGGAGGUAGAUGUACACACACAGAUGGUUAACUUUGUGUUGUACAUGAACUGAAAACACUUGAUAUACAUAAUAUCUUAGGUUAUAAAAGCCUUAUCAGCAUUGACCGUUUUUAUCUGCUACACCUGUAGGAAAUGUGAUAUAUAUAUAUAUAUAUAUAUAUAUAUAUAUAUAUAUAUAUAUAUAUAUUGUCAAAUCUUGAAGGAUUUAUCCUACAAAAGUUAGGAUCAAAACUGUUCCUCUAAAGCUAAAGGUAGCAUUAGUUGUAUGUGCUAAAGUAAAGGGACUAGCUUGAUAGUUUCAUGUAUUGUGGGAAAUUUUCUGACAGGUUCUCCAUUUUGAUACUGGGAAAUUGAUCGGCUGAAGAACACACGUUUAAAAAAAAAAAGUGGUGCCUAGGCAGUGCAACACCUCACUUCAUGCUAGGCCUGUUUAGGUGGUUUCCUCUCACUUGCGCCUCGCAGCUCACUGCUUUGUGGCACCUAGUCAGUGCAACACCUCACUUCAUGCUAGGCCUGUUUAGAAUGGAAAUGUGCCAAUUCAAGAUGAUGCCAUGAGGGGGCAUGUGAGCUUGUGGAAUACUUUGUCUGCAAUAUAUCUUUGCCUAAAUGUGGAACCUGUUCUGGAUCUCUAGAUUAUGCCUUUCCUUAUGUUAUAUUGCACAUCCAUCUCUUUUAGAUGGAAAUGAAGAAUUUUGUACUCCCUCCCUUCUCUUUUAUAUGGCAAGAAAGUAGUCCACCUACACAAGAUGGCACGGCAUCUCAAGAAAUUUGUAAAUUUCAAGCCCAUGCAACAAAGUAGUCCACCUGCACAAGAUGACACAGCAUCUCAAGAAUUUUGUCAGUUUCAAUCCCAUGCAACAAUUUUGAGCAGAACUGCCUUGGAUAGGAAAUCCCUACCGGUAGACAUAGGUUAGACAGAUCAAGGUUUAAUACUACGGAGUAUGAUGCUAAGGUAGGUCUUUUUUUUACUAUUCAAUUGCUCUUUGUUUACAAGUCCUAUAUCUGGAAAUUUUGUGAGACCACGAAAGUGGUGUCAUUAUUGGCAGCAGUAUAGCACUAUGGAUCUCGUACUUCAACUGUUGACCAGGUUCCCUUGAGCGCCCCGAAUUGGCGAAUUCAACCUUGUCAUGCUGUCUGAUAAGGUUAUCUUUAACUAGGAAUGAAAAAACAACUUAAUUUACAAGGCAAUUGGCUUUCCACGGUUAAAGAACAGAAAAUGCUUUUGGUCCACAUCAUGAGUCCAGACUAAAAUCCAUUAUUCCACAAUUCACAAUAGAUUUCUUUUCCAUGUAUCUGCUGUUUCUUAUAGCACAGGGCACAGCUAUAAGAUAGAAGCACAGCAUUUCAACAAUGAAACCACAAAGUUUAGUCCAAGAUUAAGUAAAGGGGUUGUUGAAUUUGAUAUUACCGAAGUUGCAAUGUGUUAUGCUUCUAAAGGGAACCAAGCAUCUUGGUAUGCAAAAGAUGGUUACUGAAUCAUACAAGCAAAUUAUAUCAACACAAAUAUAUCAUAUAGAAAGGAUGUUGAUGUUCUACAAUCUACUGUUAUCUUUUCCAGCUACUUAGUAACACUUAAUCAUCUAAUACUGAGAAAGAGAUCCAUACUAAUUGAUUAGCAAUACUAAUUGAUUAGCAUGCUCGAGAUUACAAGGACAUCGUUGCAAUGAAGAGUAGACACUCCUUUUGAGGACAAGGAUCUCACAGCCACAAAAGUGACUCCUAAAUACAAAAACAAAGCAGACUAAACAGCCAGGUUCAUAAUGCUAUAUAUACCGAUACUGAGAAGUUCUGAGUGGGCAAAAACUAACUGAAGGUAAUGAACUCUAGUAACAGUGGUGUAAACUUGUUGACAAGUGGUCAACCGCAAAGAACAAGGUAUUUUCUAUCAUAUCACAUUUUCCAUUUUAUAAUAGUGACUGAAGUCCAGUCAAGGGACUUGCGCUGAAGGACGCUUUGGCAGAGAUCAAUCGUGUCCUUGUGAACUCCGCAUCUGUCAUCCAGAUAACUUAAGAUCUGCAAGGACAGACCACGAAGAGGAUAGAUAAGUGCCAAAAAAAACAUUUAUAAUCCAAAUCAGACAGCGUCAACGGUAAUGCACUGAAUCAUGGAAGGAAACUGCACUUAAAUUACACAAUACAGAGCUCAGAAUGUUCAAAGAUAUCCCCUAAGACCAGGGGUAGGUGAACCUUUGUCUAACCAGAACGUAUCAGACAAUGCAAACAUGUCCAAAGAUGGCAGAUACUAUUCACUGCCCCCAAUAGCCUGAUCAGCAAUGCAACAAGUAAGCUACAAAAUUAGAGCAAGAAACAGAACAUAAGAGAAUUCCCUCAAAAACAGAACUUAAGAGAGGGAGAGCUUCAAUUCUCACGUACAUAAGAGAGGGAGAGCAAGUAGAAUACAAUCUUUUACUCCAAAGGGUACAUCGCUGAAAGAAAAAAAAGUACAGCUGGGACACUAGGUACAAUUUCUAUGGCACAAUCAGUAGCUCAGCGCAUACCAAGCAAUAAUCCAUAUAUUUAAAUGAUGCAAGACCCAACCGGCCAACCCCAAGAUCAGAUUAGCAAUUCAAUACACCAUAAUCUCUACGAAGUUCAUGACUUUGCUGCCCAACAAAUGUUCGUCCAUACUACAGAUUGAUAGUUUUGGAUUUGAAUAAUUAGGUACAUAAACAACCUGAGCUCAGUUCUGUUUUGGAGUUAAUACUUAGAUACAUGACCUGCAGGUACAGAAAGAAUUAUUAAAUUUAAAGCAGAAACAAAUAUAGUGACGAAAAUUCGAAUCAUUUUAAUAAAGCGAGACAAUACAUUGUCCACAAAAUAGAUACAUCUCUCACUGUCUCACAUAGUUUCAUAUAACUCAACUGAAACAUUGAACUUUUCACACCUUAGAACAUUUUCGAACUCGUAUGAACCUCAAAUUUGGAAACAACCUAAUGUUUAUCUUAGUAUUAGAAAAUAUGAAGUUGCACUAGCAUUCCCAGUGCAAAAAAAUAUAAUGGGACUGAAUCGGGUUUGCUAAAGUAGGUCCCCAAUGAGACUAAGAUCACCAACGAACAAGACACACCGAUAAGAUCAUAAGAGAACAGUUUGGUAGGUGCACAAAUAAUCCCUCAUUGAUCAUUUGCAUACAGGGACCUGUGCUUGUGCAAUGCCCAUCACAAACAGGUCAAUAAUUAGUUAAAUAAUUUCACCUUAUAGCAAACACAGUGCUCGUGGCCUCACAAUGGCCCUCUCAUAGUCUCAUUGAUCAUUUGCCUUCUCCACUGAGAAAAAAAAAUGACAUUGAGAAGUAGUCAGGAGUCAGAGGCACAAGCUAACACUAUAAGGGAUCUGUUGAUUAGUGACGAACCAAAAUGUAUCAUAAACAUGCUUUUUUCAUCAUAAACCGUGAUUUAUGAUGCUCAUGUGACGAGCAAACCAUUUGUCACUAAUCGAGCGUCAUAACCACGAUUAGUGAUGUUCCUUAUAUUUGCGCGUCACUAAAUCUAUGGCACCUACGAAACGUCCACACAAACAUCACAAAUUGGCUCCUACGGUUUUACCAUGAUGGAUAAGAAUCUGAUGUGACAUGACCAUUGUGAUAAAUUGUUUCAUCAUACAAUGAAUUUGCCACAUUUGUUGUUGGGUCGAGCUCAAAUUUGUUCCGAUAGGCCAAUAUUUUUCCGAUAGCCAAAAAUUUGUUCUGAUAGGUCCUUUUGUUUUCUCCCGAUUUAUGAAUGAAAUACAUUUUUGGCACAAUUAUAUGUGAGCUAAGCCCACGUAAGGAAUAAAUUUUUCAAAUUCAGUCUGAGAAAUAAUGGAUUUCAAUUCAUUUCCAAAUUAUUCAUCACAGAUCACAAUGUAAGAUCACUAUCUUACAAAGAAGAAAGAUUAACAAAGUUGCAUACAUGACAUAAGCUCAAACCACAAAGUAGAGCAUCGAUUUUAACCUCUUGCAAAGGUUAGCAGUUGACGAAGGAGUGCUUCAGUGUCUUGUGAUAACUUCUUCAAGUUCUCAAUCUCAGCUAAUUGCAAUUUGAGAGUUGAUUCCGAAUCUUCUGUCUUCUUCUUCAAGGUAACUCUUGCUGGUGAGUAAGAAACCAUUAUCGAAGUUGUACCCCAUCUUGUUUGUCAGCCUCAACUUGCUCCUUGUCAACACCACCGCAUCAGGAUUUGGUAGAGUUUCUUGAACACUCAGCAAAAUCAUCAGGUUUUCAUUUUGCAAGAAGCACCAUUGAUCGGAGUACUUCAAUCUAGCUACAACAUGAUUCAAAGUCAGACUAUGAUCAAGUUUUCAUUUUGCAAGAAGCUCCAUUUAAUGUAAGGAAAGAAGGAACAGAAAUACAUAUUGUGUUAAGGGAGUGCACUAGAGCGACUACAGAUGUUGACCCUUUGCCCCGCUGAAACAAGAUAUUGUCAAACUUUAGUAUUAGAUUAACAAAGAAUUCUUCCAUUUUUCAUGAAUCGCUCUUUAAGAUCAAAUGCGCAAUGCAUCUACAUCACAUCACACCUGCACCAUCGCAUGCCACUCACACAAGAAACUCAAUUGAGGUGUUUAUGUAUUAGCGAAAGGGAGAUGGUAAACAAAAGGGAAGAAAUGCACAGGCAGAUAGAAGAUCUCGAUUUUACUUCUGUAUUCUCCAAGUUUUAAUAUGCAAUGCAUCUGAGAAGAACGGCAAGCAUUGUAGUAGAAAGAAGUUGGUCAAGAAACAAUACAAGCAAAUUCCGUCCACAAAAAUAGACAGUAACAAUGGAUCUUGUAGCAAGAGAAAAUAUUCCAUAUGCUCUCUUCAGGACAAGGAGCUUACAGACAGAUCACAAAGGAGACUCCUAAUACCACAACCCAGUGGUUUUCAGAGAAUAAAUAAACAUAAAUCAUAACCCAGUAGUUUUCAAAGAUUAAAUAAAAAUAAAUCACAAUCCAGCACCACAUUCGGAUCAGAGCAGACCAGGUUCUGAAUACUCACAGCAAAGAACUUGUAGUUUCCCAUAUCGCGGAGCAGAUUGGAGCCCGAAACGAACCUGCUGGCCUGGCCCGGACCAGGAAGAGGCAUUUCUAACAAUUUUUACACUAAAGAAGCACGGAGGCCCAGCAUGAGCCCAUCCGGUUUUGACAGAUUUUUCUGUGGCCUGACAACCUUACUGGGUGGGCAUCGGCCCAAAAUAAACCGAAAAUCUAUCUGGUUUCUGGAAUUUUUUUUACUUAGCUUCCAUUGUUGGAGCUCCGUGCAAAGGCUGAGAUUGCGAGUUUUCUUGGGCACGAAACGGGUUCACUGGAAACCCGAAGGAUAGGUGUCAACAGCCGAGUGAAGGAGGCGGAUGAGAAUCUAGUUUGAGUUCCAAACUUAAAAUACCAUUAUCUCUUAAACCGUUAAUCCAUUUCGAAAUCAGUUUGAACCACCGUGUUGUUUGUAAUUAAUGCAACGAAAUGAGAUCCAAUAUGAAUAUAUUUUUUAUUUUUUAAUAUAUCUUUUAAAAUCAACAUUCAGAUUGCAGUAUUUCAACAAUUUGAACAACUACUUCAACAUUUUGGACAUGCUGCUUCAACAUUUCUAUACAAAAUGUUGAUCCAGUUUAUCUGAAUUGUUGAACUAACUUUAAGAAAAUGUUGAACCUAGUUCUUUAAAAUGUUGAAUAUAUUAGUUAAACGGUCUAAACGUGUUAGUUUAAUUUUAUGUGAAAAAUACUAAAACAGUAUAAUCAGAAUGUUAAUUAGCUUUUUUUCAAUCAGGAAUGUCGACUAAAUUUUUUCAAGUUGAAAUUCAUUUCGUCAUACAUCUAAGCACCUGAUUAGCAAAUCAGGAAUGUCGACUAAAUUUUUUCAAGUUGAAAUUCAUUUCGUCAUACAUCUUAGCAUCUGAUUAGCAAAUAGCUAGCAUAAUUAGAAGAAUGGAGAAAGGAAAAAAUAAACAAAAGCGUACAUGCCGUGAAGACUCAUCGCCGCAUGGCCCUGCGUUUGACUGGUGGGCUGUUAAUGGAAGAAAUCGGUACGGUUGGUAUUUGGGCCUGGUGGGCUUUAUAGCCAUGUAGUUUAAUGAACUUCCGGUAGCUACAUAGGAUCCCCAAAUAAACCGGCUGGUCAAUUCCAUCACCAUCAGAAAAGGUGCUGCGAAUGCUGCUGCGAAUUCUCCUUAAAUCCUUUUAUUUUAAAGGAAUUGGAAUCUACUUGGUGGGGUAGACUAUUUGUUUUGAAAUGUAAGCAUACCAUAACUUUCCAAAGUUUAGAUAUAAGUCUGUCUUAAAUUCAUAGGUGGGACAUGCUAUGUUUCUAAUGUGCAACUUAUAGCACGUUUUCGACACGCUUCCUGUAGCAGAAGUGCACAUAAGUAUCUCUCCCAUAUGAUAAAUAUACUCCACAUACAACUAUAUUAGUUUAAUUAAUUUGUGUCUAAAUUAAGAAUGGAAUUCAAUUCCAAGGAUCGGGCCUCAGAAAAAAUGUACCCGCAAAUAAAAGGGAUGCUGUUAAUUUUAGUUUUUAUUUUUAGGGAAUGCUGUUAAUUUUAGUUGAAAGGAACCAGGUCCGCGUUCCUACAAUUGCAUGCGUAUGCAUGAAGUUGUUCUCAUGAAUUGUUAUAUUGGACCUAGCAUUCCUACCAGGUCUCUGCAUCCUUUCUUUCAUGUGAUCCGAAAGAAAAUUCUAUAGUUUAUUUCUGUGUACCUUCAAAGUUCAAAUUACCGAAACACUGCAAUUGCCCUUGGAAUCAAACUUAUCAAGCACGAUGAAUUUGGUCAGAUAAUUCUUCCCCUUUUCAUGAACCCACAGGUUCCAAUCGAAUGUGCACCAGAUCGAGCAACAUCACAUCAUAUUUACACCAUCAUACAGACGACUAAUUCAAUCCAGUUCGAAUGUGAACGCAUCAGCAAUUGACAAAUGGAGAAGAAGAGGGACGAGGCGCACGAACAGGGGGAGGCGUCACAAGGCGGCGAGGCCGAGGAAGUCGACGGCGGACUUGGCCAUGAUGGCGGUGAACUCCUGGAAGCUGAUGACGCCGUCGCCGUCGGUGUCGGCCUCGCGCAUCAUGUCGGUGAGCUCGUCGUAGCAGAUGGGGUGCCCCAUCCGCGCCAUGGAGCGCGCGAGCUCGGCGGCGGAGAUGAAGCCGUUCCCGUCGCGGUCGAAGGCGCGGAAGGCCUCGGCGAGCUGCGCCUGGUCGACGGCCACGGCGGGGCGGCAAGGUCCCAGGAGCAGCGGCGCGAGGGAGGACGCCAGCUCGUCAAACUCCACGGUGCCGUUGCCGUCGGCGUCCAUGGCGGCGAUGAGCGCGUGGAUCUCGUCGCCGGCGGCCGGGCGGAGGCCCAGGGAGCGGAGCAGCGCCGCAAGCUCCAGCAUCGUGAGGCUCCCGUCGCGGUCGAGGUCGAAGCGGAGGAAGAGCUCCCGGAGCUGGCGGAGCUGCUCGUCGCGGAGCCGCGCGCGCCCGCCGCCCGCCGGGGCCGAGGAGGGGUCCCUGGCCUUGCCGCCGCCGGCGGGGGGGUGGGGCAUGGACGCCGAGCGCUUGGUGCGGGCGGCGGCGGCCGUCGUGGACAUGGUCGCGGGCUGGGCGGGGGACGCUGCUGCGGUCGCGCUGCCUUCUCGGACGCGGUCUUCGGUGGCGGGGCGGGAGCUCUGCAUGCCGUUCCGUGCCCGUGCCGACAGAGAUAUAAUACGCGCGGGGGCCGGGGGGACUUGGCUUUCCGUUGGGGCGCCGUUUUGACGAUGCGGCCGUGGCGUGGCUUGUGCAGUUGCUAUUGUUUUGCUGUUGCUGCGUCUCGGUAUAGCUGUGGGGGAGCUCAAAUUGGAUUGUUUCCUCCGUGCGGUCAUGCGGGGGUUUCAACUUUCAAACCUUGGUCGUUCACGGUAAUGAUGUGUUGGAGUUCAACGGGGGGUGGUCGUUCACGAAUCACGACAUUGAUCUACUGGAGCGUCCACCGUUUGGCAUUGAAAUGCGUUGUGACAAAGUUUGGGACACCCCAUCAAAAAGUGCUUGAAGUUUUGUUUUCUACGGUCAUCAUCAAGGUGUGAUUUCGAUCUAUUUUCAGUACUAUAUUUAUAAAAUCUAGUAAAUUUGUGAGAUCGUGAAAGCACUCUUCAAUUAAAAAAAAUUAUGGCCAGGCAAAGUUGCAAUAGUGCGAGCGGAACCUGGUCAAAAUGCCAUUUAGUCAUUACUCGUGUUUCAUCCAACCACCAGUUGAAUUUUCGCACCACGUCAGAUUUUGAUGUGGCUUCCUUUGCCAUGUUAGCAAUGGACAAGGACGAACGCGUGUGAGUAUGCCAACCAUAUGGGUAAUAGUUUUACUUGCUUUGUGUUUUUCUUUGCAAACGACUACUCAUAAAAGUGGCACAGAUGAGGAAACUGCAUUCCAACGAUACGUGCCAGGAUUGGGUCAGCGUACCCAAUCAAAAUGAUUUACGACAAGACAUUUCUUCCAUAAAAAAACAGCAGAGAAGUUCUCAACACUCACCAUAACAGCAGUACAAUCAGCCUGACCGCGAAAUGGCAACGACCAACAACGGAUGCUGCACCAAGCAAAACAAAAGAGACAGCGAUGGCAAUUUAUAAGAAUCAAUACUGCCACUCGUAUUACUACAUUGUUUGCCAUCCCAUACAAGAUUGCAACAAGCAUCCUCGGAAAUUCUGAGAUAUCACUGGCAGUAUCCAAUCGAAUCAUGGACAGUUCGCUCAAUAGAUAUUGCGCAUUGUAAGAAAUUUAUCGAAGUGUUAUGCCUUCAAUUCAGUGAAACAUGAACGGAUAACAUAAUCAUGAAUAAGAACUGAAGGCUAUGCAAGUGAGACGUUGAACAUCUCAUAAAUUGUUGAGGGGCAAGCUAUGUGUAGGCAUGCUUUCUCUGUAGCAAGGAUACCCGGGAUUCAUGCUUUUCUACCUCAGCCACCAUCUUUGAACUGCCGAAAUGGGAGUGUUGAGGAAUGGUGCAUAUCGAUAAAUGUAGGGGUUUACCGCCCGGCCUAUUCUUGCCCACACGCUCUGGUGGUAUCCGGAUGUGACAGGAGCAUGGUACAUCAGCUUCAACAACUGCACGAAAAGAAAUGUCCGAAAAGGUUAGCUAGGUAAUUUAGUUCUAGCUGAACAAUUAGUAGGCUUCGUAAAUCAAACAGCCCAGAGUCAACAAUAAG